UGUAAUUUUCUUUUAUUUUCAGUUACUUGAAUUUUGUUUAUUUUUUAUUUAUUUUCAAUUGUAUUGUUUUUUGUUUAUUUGCUUAGUUGUUUUAUUUACUGCUUUAAUUUUCUGUUAUCUGCUUAUUUGGUUAUUUUUAUGUUUUGAAUUUCAAUUUUAAUUUAAUUUGUUUUCUAGUUUAUUUUUCUCAAAUAAAAAAAAUAAAAUAUUAAUUUUGUUGUGAAAAAAAAAAUGUGUUUAAAUAUUAAAUAGUGAAAUGAAUUAGACACAUGUUAACCGGACGAUUGAUUAGAACAAAAAAUGACAAAACAAAAAGAAAUGAGACUAAUUAAACUAAGUGAAUGUGUGAUCCUUAAACGUUUGAGAGUUUUACUGAUGAAUUGACAGUCGUGGUUGCUUAAUUUUUAUUUUUUUGUUACAUCAUAAAACAACAUGAAGAUGAUUGAGGCAUUUGUGUUAAUUAGGAACCCAGGGCCAAAUAACCAACCUUUAUCUUAUUAUAAUUAAUUUUUUUCGUAUAUCCCUUUUGAGCAAAGGAUUUUUGUUGUUAUUUCACCUUAACUCUUCAAUGAUAUACUUUCCUAUGUUUAAGGAAGGAGAACAUAGAUACAAUUUACAUAGAAAAAGGAAUGGUUGGUUCUAAUUGUGAAAAUUCAAAAGGUUGAAAAUAGUAAGAAUCUAGUCCUAUUGAUGAAAAAAAAGAGAGACAAAUUCCCAAAGAAAAAAAAAGAGGAAAAUUCUGGCGGAACUUUAUUACAGGGAGAAAUGGUGUUUUCUCUGCCCAUUUGAGUUUGAGUUGUUUUAAAAUUGCACUAUGUUUAAUUUUGAACUGUUUUAGGUUUUGAUGAAAGGUAUGUGGUUUUUUUUAUGCAACACUCCUAAUCAAAAUGCAGCAGCGACUUUGAGAAUGGUCGUAUUUCUUCCUUCAAAGCAUUGGGGAUUUGUCUCCAACAAACAUGGGGAGAUUGUUGAGGAUAGUGAAGAUUCUACUCAACUUUCAUGAAAGAAGUUUUUCAUGAAGAAAAUAUGUUUAAAGGUGUAUAAAAAUUGUAUAUCAUGUUCAACCUCAUAUCUCAUAGCCAUGAUGAUGAUCUUAAGCACAAGGAUCUUUUAAAAGGAGUUUUAAAAAUCUUCUCAUAUUUUACAAAAUUGAUUUUACUUCAAUAAAAUUUUAAUAUCUUGUUUGAUAAAACAAUUGAUUCAUUUGCACUGCACCAAAACUGUUUUGUUCUUUCAAAAUUCUAUUUUUUUUCUCCAAAAUUCAGUUUUGUUCUUUCAAAAUUCUAUUUUGCCUCCAAAAUUCAAUUUUGUUCACAUAUUCAGUUUUUAACUUAUCAAAAUGCCUUUUCAAAAUACAAUAUGUUCUUUCAAGUUUUAACCUAUUGUUUUAUAACAGCUUUUAAAAAUGUUUUGGGCAAACUAUUGUAAUUUGAAUCCUAUAAAAGGAUUGUUAUAUCAUAGUUCAAAUCAUCCGUUGAAAUUAUAAAGUGCUUACACUUUUCAAGUAAUUUUCAUUGAGGUUCUCAUGUAAGCUUAGUUUUUAAAUAAUUCUUGAGUCAGAAACAAUAUGUUUCUUCUAAAAGUAAUCUAUUUUAGUUUUGAAAUUGCUUCCUGAACAAGAAAAUCAAUUUGUUUUUCUUUAAAUAAAUAUGUUCUUUGUCUGUCAGGAGUUCUUAAAUAGUGUAUUUGCGAAAAUUAUCCUAUGGACAAUAAACCCCCUUCUUGAACUUAGACUCCCUUAAUCUCAAUACAAUUAUUCUUCAAUCAUGUUCUCUUAAGCAAAGAACUUCUCACUCAAGCGAAAAAAAAACACUAAAAACUCAUCUCUCUCUCUCUGCCAAUAUCUCGUUCAAGUGAAUCUAUUCUCGCUCGAGCUAAAAGUCCAUUCUUGUUUGAUCUAAAAAAAUAACUUAUUCUUUAAUUCUUUCUUUUAUUUUCUUCUUGUCUUUUCAAUUAUUUGAAUUAUGUAUGAAUAUAUUUUUUUAAUACAAAUUGGAUUGUGAAAUUUAUGAAUAAUAUGGAUUAUAUGAAGAUGAUGGAAUUGUAUGGAAUGGAGAUAUUAAGUAUUCAUCUAUGUUUUAACGGAUAUCCUCUAACUUCAUUGAUGAUCUAAGUCAUGUAGACUAAGAUAUCAGUAGGUGAGAAGUUGAUGAGGAAGUUCAUACACUGUGAUCGCUUGUAGUCACAUUGUACUGGAUGUUUAAAUAUACCCUGAUCAUUUCUCUUAUAUUCACUUGUAAAUCUAAGUCUUGGGUAUUGGAUCAGAUGUUAGUCUAGAGUGUACUUAAUACGAGUUUUCCAAAAGGCAUCUGUUGGAUAUCUUUGAUGUAUGGAUCCAUGUGUGGUCCAUAUGAUUAUUGAUGACGUUAUUGGAAUGAAAUUGGGUUGUGGUGAUUAGUAUUGAAUAUUAUAUGAUUAUGAUUGAUGAAAAAAUUAAAUGGAAUUAUGUAUAUGAAUCAUUAAUAUGAUUGAUUAUUUUUACUUAUAUUUUCAUGUUAGAAUUUUAUUUUGAUAGCUUACCAUUGCGUGUUUUGUUUGUGUAUGAAUUGUUAUGACUAUACUAUGUACAUGAGCAUAUAUAUUUGCAGGUGUACAAGGGACUUUGAGAAAAGAUUGGAGAUCAUUGUUUUCUUUUAUUCCCUUUUUAUUUUACUUUUUGUAUAUUUUAGAGUGCUACAUUUAUGGUAUCAGAGCUGUUCAUCCUAAGGAUGACCCGAUGUUAGUGGGUUUAUUGUGUUUCUUUUGCACGUGAAUUUUUUUUUUUAAGUUUAGUUUAAAGACAUAUGCAAAAUGUUUCUAGUAUUGGAUGUUUAAAAAGUGAUUUUUGAAAUCUUGUUUAUGCUUGACUUAAAUGAUUGUUAUGAAUGAAGAGGAAAGUAUUAAGAAUGAAAAUAAUCUUGAUAAAGUAGUGAGGAUGCACAUUCAUAAUUAAAUGAAGGUUCUGUAUCUUAAUUCUACAAGUUUGAAGUAUAUUUAAAAGAUAUAUUUUUUAUGAUUAGUUAUAUUUUGUAUGUAAUUUUGGUGUUGGACGUAUGCUGAAUUUUAGAGUAAAAUGUUUUUGUUUUAUGUAUUAGUGGUAGAUUUUGAAGUUGUCUUUUAGGCCAAUAACUUUACACAAAUAUUUGUGUUGGUGAAAUAUUUUUGUACACAAGAAGUGUUUCUUAUUAUUAAUGACUCAAAUGCUAAGUAAAUAUUAAUAGAAGGUAAUAUUAAUAAUAUUAUUUUAUUAAUCAUGAUAUUUAUAUUGAUAUUAAUUUUUUUAUUAAUAUUACAAAUAUUUUAAAUAUUUUUAUGAGUGUUACUAAUAUUAUUAUUAAUAGCAUCAUUAAUAUUAUUAUUCAUAUUAAUAAUAUUAAUAAUAUUAUGGUUAAAUUAUUAUUAAUAUUAAUAUUAUUAUUAAUAUUUUUAAUGUUAUUAUUAAAAUGAUUUUCAAUAUUAUUAUAAAAAUUAUUAUUAAUACUAUUAUCAUUAUUAUUAAUAUUAUUAUUGUUCUUGUCGGUUGACCUGGUCGCUGGUUAACUUCAAAGACAAACAGUGACUCCUCUUAUUUCUGGUGGAUCCUGUUUUUAGGUUAACUCACUAUUCCCACCUCUCUCUCACUAGAGCCUUAUCUCUAGUGAAAUUAGGUUUACUCGGAGGACAUUCUAUUACGUUGUUACACAAUCUUAGCAUAACAAUCGCACAAAAUCAUCCUCUUUGGAGUGCACAAUCUUAACAGCAGGGUCGCCAGGGUACCAACUCAUGUACUAGCGCUGCAGGACCCAUCUGUUUUGUAGGUGCCCUAAUCCUUUACGUAUCAUGCAUGCAGCUUGCCCUGAAAACCCUAGUGCUCUUGGGCCUUGGCGUAUUCAGGGAAUGUUUACUUGUGCUAGACCCGAAUGUACUAUACGCACCCCAUGCAUGAACUUUCUCGUUGACUAGGCCUUUCUUAUACACGGGUUUCAACAUACGCAUCUUUGGGGGCCCACUUACGUGGCCCACUAUCACGACCAGACCAUCGAGUCGACCUACUCCUCAGAUGCCAAUGUCCGAUGUCGAUGUUCGAAGUCUGGUCCAGUACAAUUAUUAUAAUUAGUAUUAAUAUUAGUAUUAUAAGUAAUAUUAAUAUUUUUAAUAUUACUAUUAUUAUUAAUGUUAAUAUUAUUAAUAUUUUUAAUAUUCUUCUUAUGGAUAUUAUUAAUAAUAUUAUUAAUACUAUUAUUAAUAUUAUUAGUAUUUAUAUUAAUAUUACUAUUAUUAUUAUUGAAAAAAAUAAAAAUAAUAUUAAUAAUAAUAUGAUUAUUAACAAUAAUACUAAUGAUAAUAAUAAUAAUAAUAAUCAUAUGUGAAUCAAUCUUAGUCAUGGCUAGCUAUGAUUUUGGGCACCCGAGUUCAGAGUCUUACUGAGCUUGGGUCGUUCCAUGUGAAUCUCCAUAUACCUCGACACUCUUAUGCUUGAAAUCUUACCAAGGAAAGGCUGUCUUUCUUGGGAUAAGCCACCUAGACACUUCUCUCAUAUCUUUUGCCUUUAGGACAUCUGACCUGGGUGUCAUUUCACACGCCAUGUCUAUCAUAUUAAUGCCUUUUGCUUGGAGUUUCUGACUUGGGCAUUAACUUACAAUGCCAAGUCUCAUUAUCAACAUCGAGGUAGGUUGGAUUACCUGCCUUCGAAUAAAAAAUCUUAAAUUCACUAGGAAUUAUGGAAAACAGAAGUUCAGAGCACCUGAACUCAAAAUCUUACUGAGACAAAGGUCAUCUUGCCUUAUAGCAAAUACUCAGGGCGCCUGAACUCAAAAUCUUUUACCAAGAUAGAUCGUCUUCCCCGACUUAAGCCAAACGAUGGCGAGUUGCGAUUCAUGGUACCCGAGCUCGAAGUCUUACUGAGCAAGAGGUCAUCGCGCCUUAAUGGCUUUAACUGUAUAUACUCCCUAAAGGGAGGUUUCACCGUGAUUCGCUAUGAACCUUACUGCUCCCCAAAGGGAGAUUUCACUGUGGUUCGUUAUGAACCUAAUUGCUCCCUAAAGGGAGAUUUUACUGUGGUUCGCUAUGAACCUAAUUGCUCCCACUCUUGGGAUCUUACCAAGGGGAGAUUUUGCUUUUACUCUUGGUAUCUUACCAAAGGGAGAGGUCCGCUAGGAACCCUGGUUUUCCCAACCUUGGCGUAUUUACCCAAAUGAGAGGUUCAUUUGGAAUCUUACUGUUUCUCGAAUUUGGCGUAUAAUCCAUGGGAGAGGUUCACUUGGAACCCUACUGUUCCUCGACCUUGGCAUAUAACCCAAGGGAGAGGUUCACUUGGAACCUUACUAUUUCUCGAUCUCGGCGUAUAACCCAAGGGAGAGGUUCACUUGGAACCUCACUGUUUCUCGACCUUGGUCUAUAAAGGCAAGGGAGAGGUACACUUACUGUUCUCGACCUUGGCGUAUAAAGGCAAGGGAGAUGCUUUCCUUGGAACCUUAAUAUUCUUGACCUUGGCGUAUAAAAGCAAGGGAAAGGUUCACUUACUGUUCUCGACCUUGGCGUAUAAAGGCAAGGCAGAUGUCUUACUUGGAACCUUACUAUUCUCGACCUUGGCAUACAAAGGGAGAGGUUCACUUACUCUACAAUAUAUUGCAAACAUAUUUUUCAACUAACUUUUUUAUUGGGUGACCUCAUUAAAAAACCUGAAAUAGAACUUGAGGCUUGUCGCGUUCCCUGCCCGAGGAAUGGCUCCAUCGUCUUGAAUUUCCAGCCGAUGGGUUUCGUCACCCAACACUUCUAUGAACCUGUAUGGUAUAAAAGUUUGGUGUUAUACUGCCAUUUACCGUCGAGCUACGGGAGGACAUAAUCAUUUGUGAUUCUCGACACAUGAGUUCUGGAAAGUUUGUCAAAGUAGAUCUUUGUUGCAUAUUGUAGAUCAUGAACUAGUACACCAGGUAAGUUCCCAGGAAAGAGAGGUGGGUCACCAAUGGACGCGUUUAAAUACCAAGUCUUUCCUCGCCAGAACUUUCCUAGACAUGUACUCUUACACUACUACGCUCUGUAUCCAGCAACAAGAAUAAAUUCUCUCCUGCGAGAGAUCAUGAUCAUGAUAACAAUAUCACAACAGAUUUAAAUGAUUAUUAAUCGUUCACGUCAUCUUCAGAAUAACAUGAUAACAAAUUUAUACAUAUCCGUUUAUUUCCAUAAUAAUAUGAUAACAUAUUUAAUAAUAAUUAUAUCUUCCAUCUUCAGACUAAUAUCACAACAUACUCAAAAGAAAUAAUCAUUAUAUUUGGAAUAACAUCACAACAAAUAAAAUAUCUCUUUACCCUUUAUCCUCAAAAUAAUAUCACAACAGACUUAACAGAUAAUAAUCAUUUAUCUUGGGAAUAACAUUGCAACAAAUAAAUAUAUCUUUAUCUUUUAUCUUCAAAAUAAUAUCACAACAGAUAAAAUAUCUCUUUAUCUUUUAUCUCUAGAAUAAUAUCACAACAAAUAAAAUAUAUCUUUAUCUUUUGUCUCUAGAAUAAUAUCACAAUAUAUAAAAUAAAAAAUAUAAUAUCACAACAGAUAAAAUAUUUCUUUAUCUUUGUUACCUUUUCUGGGCUGACCAACAUUUGAGCCAAGCUCACGACUCACCUCUUGUGUCCAAAUACCGAGAUGACAUCUCCCAAACACUUGGGUCGAGCUGACAAGCUCUCCUGCACGCCCUCCGUCUUACCUGCCACUAGGUAAUCAUUUACUCAUUGAGUGCCUAUACUCGAGUGGUUGUACUGACACCGAGCUAGGUUGACUUAGUUGUGUUGUGCUUAAGCAAAUCAACAAACAAAUCAAUCCCAUAGAGCGCCUAUGCUCGUUCUUAUGUCGAGCUAGGUCGACUUACCAUGUGCCAAUUCAAAUAAAUCAAAAAAGUUAAAUGCCUAAUCUUUCAAGAACAAACUUAUCACACAUCAUUCAAAAAGAAAGCAUUAGACUAGAAUAUCUUAGCUGAAAAUACAACACGAGGUUUGCCACAUUCCACACUCGAGGAAUGGCCUCAACCGGUCAGCCUUGGCUUCUUCGUUUACUAAUUGGAGGACUCUCAUAGUCUCCAUGAUUUGUUGCAAGGUGGGGUCAUUGCUCCCUUCAGAUUCCAGUGGACAUUGCCUCGCGUUUCUCAUCACGUCAAAAAUCUCAAACACAAUUGUGGAUGGGAUCAGGUUUUACUGAGCCCCACGGUGGGCGCCAAAUAUUCUUGUCAGUUGACCUAGUCGUCGGUUGACUUCAAAGGCAAGCGGUGGCCCCUCCUAUUUUUGGUGGAUUAUGUGCUUCCCUUGAAUGUUGGAAGGCGACUCCAUUGAAACAGAGGGGGCCCUACCUGUUGAUUGCACUCCGACGAUCAAGUCAGUUUAGGGCUUAUAGAAACAAUGAGUAAAUAAGCAAGUAGUUUCAGUCUUAGAAACUGUGUACCUUUACUAAAGAUCUCAACUCCCUUUUAUAGGUUGUUUUUAGGUUAACUCACUAUCCCCACCUCUCUCUCACCAGAUCCUUAUCUCUAGUUAAAUUAGUUUUACUCGGAGGACAUUCUGUUACGUUGUUAUACAAUCUUUGCCUAACAACCGCACAAAAUCAUCCUCUUUGGAAUGAACAAACUUAACAGCAAGGUCACCAGGGUACCAACUCAUGUACCAGCACUGUGGGGCCCAUCUGUUCUGUAGGUGCCCUAAUCCUUUACGUAUCAUGCAUGCAGCUUUCCCUGAAAACCCUAGCGCUAUUGGGCAUUGGUGUAUUCAGGGAAUGUUUACUUGCGCUACACCCGAAUGUACUAUACACACCCCAUGCAUGAACUUUCUCGCUGACUAGGCCUUUCUUAUACACGGGUUUCAACAUACGCAUCUCUGGGGACCCACUUACGUGGCCCACUAUGACGACCAGACCACCGAGCCCACCUGCUCCUCAGGUGUCGAUGUCUGAUGCCGAUACCCGAAGUCUGGUUCAGUAUAAUUAUUAUAAUUAGUAUUAAUAGUAGUAUUAUAAGUAAUAUUAAUAUUUUUAAUAUUACUAUUAUGAUUAAUGUUAAUAUUAUUAAUAUUUUUAAUAUUCUUCUUAUGAAUAUUAUUAAUACUAUUAUUAAUAUUAUUAGUAUUUAUAGUAAUAUUACUAUUAUUGUUAUUGAAAAAAAUAAAAAUAAUAUUAAUAAUAAUAUGAUUAUUAAAAAUAAUACUAAUAAUAAUAAUAAUAAUUAUUAUUAUUAUUAUAAUAUGAUCACAAAUUUAUCUUGUGUAAUGGUUCAAAGUUCUUUAUUGACUCAAAAGGAGCAUGAGUUCAAUUCUUUGAUCUUUGAUAGUAGUUUGUUAAUAGCAUUAAUAAUAAUCAUGGUUUUAACUAUGGAUAAAAUUUUAUGAAAAAAUAAAAAUUUGUGAGAAAUUUACCUAUGGAUUUUGAGUCGUCCAUAAUUCAUCAGUAAUGUUUGAUUACCUACGAACUUUUUUUAUAGGUAAAUCUAUUUUUUUUUGUAGUGUAUGAAAAGGUAGCAAGGCGAUGAUCAAGUCUAAGUAAUUAGAUCCCUGAUUUGAAUAUGUAGUUUAAUGUAUUCUCGAGAUAAGAGAAGUAUAUUCUUGAAAGUAAAAGAAGGGAAAUUUAUUUAUAUGUAUGCUGCAUUAGAUUAGGGGAUUUAAUAUUAGAAUCUAAUAAAUGGAAUGAUUGUUUAAAUGUGUGAAAAGUGUUAUUACAUAAUUAGUUAGUAUGUGAAACCAAAAUGUUUGAAUAAAGGUUAUAUGAAAGUAUUGGUUAGUAUAAUAUUUUAUUAUUAAGGUAGUUAGUGGUUUGGAAUGAUUUAAUUAUAAUAUUUGUAUGAUUUUUUAAAAUUAAAUUUUUUGUUUCUAUAUAAUUGUUUCUUUGGAUAAUGAUAUCGCUCACAUGGUGGUGACAUAUUGUUGUAGUAACACCUAAUUAGUGUGUAAAAAUAUAUGUUUAUUAUCAUUUGAAUGACAAAAAGAACAUUGGAACUCAAGUGAUGACUUCUAUUUUGAGUGAAAGAGAUCAAAACAACUAUAUCUCAUUUGGAAUAACUAACGUUCAAGUGAGAACAUGGUUGUUCAAGCAUUAAGUAGGUUUUCCUUAAUUGUACGAAGCAAGGUCACUCAAGCAAGCUUUAACUGUGAUUAUGGUGAUGGUGAUACUUACUAUGUUGUUAAUUAUGUAUGUUGUUGAAUAUGAUUAUUGUGUGAUAUAAAUGUUGUUAUGUUUAUUGAUUAAAAUAUUGAGACUAAUCAUUGGUUAUAUAUAUAUAUAUAUAUAUUAUGGUGUUAUAUAGAUUGUGAUAUUUGUGUGAUAUAUUGGUCUUCAUGAGUAUGAUUCUUUAUGAGCGUGUGGUGGUAAUACUUGAGAAGGUAAUGUGGUCUUAAGGGGUCAUAAUAUUUAGCACAUAACUCAUUAAAGAUAUAAUAAAUCUUAUGCUUCACUAAUGAUAUGAUAAAGUAUAUUAAGACAUCAAAUGCAGAGAAACUUAAAAAAUGUUUUGCAUUAGAUUAUUACAAAGUAGAUGCAUGAACUACCUUGACAUAGGAAGAUGAUGAUGGAUUUCAACCAGGUUUCUGUAAGAAUUGAUGGCUUAAACAAGAGGGGGUGAUUUUUUUUAUGAAAGAUUUUCGCAAAGACUUGAUUUAGAAUGAAUAUUUAUCAAACAAUCCAGAUAAGCAAAUAAGAAAAACAAUCAAACAAUCCAACAGAAACAGUUAUCAGAAUUUUAACCGGUUAAACCUUCGUUUUAAUCGGUUGUUUAUACCAGCAGCAGAAAUGAAAUUAUCAAACAGUUAUGGAGAGUUUGAGAGAAAGAGAGAUUUACACAAAAGGUUUAUACUGGUUCACUGACACAGAGCUACAUCCAGUUCUCAGACAACCUCUAAGUUCCACUAGUAACCAAUACCAGAUUACAAAACACACAAAGAGGUAACCUUGCAACUCACAAGACUCCCUCACUCUCUUUGAAAUACCAAACACCUCAAGAUAGAACAACCUUUGUCUUUAUAGGAUUUCAAACACACAAAACAGUUAAAAAGAAGUAUUAUUAAAAGUAUCUAAACAAGGAUAGAAAACACCUGAAUUUGCACAAUACAGGAAACUCCUAUGAUAAGAACUUGUUACCACAAAAAAGAUUGAACAACAAUCUUGCCCUUUGAAAAAAAAAAUUGAAAACAAAUCAAUUUCUUUGAUCUCAAAUCUGUAUCAAUACUUGUUGUAUUUGAAUUGUUAUUUUGCUUUGAAAGAAAAGUUAUAUUUAUAGCUUUGAAAUGUAGUCGUUUAAGGUAGAUUUAAAUAACUGAAUGAGUUAAAACAAGUUUUCAAAAAAUUGUUAUGAAAACAAACAUUUAACCGGUUGAAACCACGAUUUAACUGAUUGAAUGAGUCAAGCAAUUGCAUAAAUAAUUCAAAAAGCAGUUUUAAAAACCUCAAGCCAGCUAAGUGACAAAAAACUGAUUAUCUCGAUGAUUCAACCGGUUGUUUUCCCUUUGCUUGGAAAAAAACUUUGUUUCUUUUAAAACUGUUUGAUCAAGCUUUGUGUAGGAUUAAGAACUGAUCUUAAAAAAUAUUCUAAACUCCCUAAUCUAAACCCAAACCAAAAAGCAGCACAACUUCAGGCUUCAUGUGGAUUUGAAACAUCAAAGCUCCCAUGUUCAACAAUUUCUAUGGGUUUGGUGUCAGUCUGUAAUGAAAUAUGUUAUAUGUGAGUCUUUCAAUAGGUGAGAGUGUGACGAAUGGCAAUGUUUUAUUGAGAUGUGUGGUUAAGAAUUUCUACAUCUUGAUUCACAAGGAUUUGGUUGUAAUUUGUGGUAUGUGAUGUGUUAUGUGUUGAUAGAAAUGUGGUUGAUAUAUGUAUGUUUUAUGUAUAUCAUGUCAUAGAUUCUUCAUGUUUAAAUUAGAUCACCCUUGCAUGUAUGAUUUUAAAGUUAUAUAAUCAUACAUGAGCAUAUAAUGUUACAGGUAGUAGAAGUGAAGAUAAACAUAGUUAGUUAAAUAUUUUAUUUUCCUAAACUCUAUGUAUAUAUUCUUAUGUGGAACUUGAGGUUUCAUUAUUAUGUAAAUAUAUUACAUAUACAUAGUGAUGCAUGUAUGUUUAGGGAUGAUAAUAAGACGGGUGGGGUGGGGUUUGAUUAUACUUGUCCUUGAAGUGAAAGUUCAUACUCAUCAUCGUACUCAUUAUAGGUAAAAAAAAAUCUAUUUCAUCCCCAUCCCAUUAGGUAAUGAGUAUAAGUGUACUCUCGCCUGUACCCCUUUGUAUUGUCUCAAAUAUUAAUUGCAUUACAUUUUAACAAAAUAAAAACCACAACAAAGACACAUUUUAUUUUCUUCAAUUUCAAAUAUCAAGGAAAAAAUUUGUAGAAAUCUUCUAGUAGAGUAUCAAAUAAAAUUUACAUAGAUUUCAAGUAAUUACAAGAAAAAAUAAAUGAUUACACAUAAUUGAAAUCAUGUGACAACAUCUAUUAUUUUUUGCAUAUAUAUAAAUGGAAAGUUGAUUGAGGAUAAGAGUAACCUUACUAGAUAUCAAAAGAGUCAAACAAUUAAAAAAUAAUAAAAAAUUGUGUCAUUAAAAAAUAUUCUUCAAAUGAAAUGAAACUAAGAAACAAAGAGAAAAUAGAAGAUAAGUAUUUUUAGGUUACUAAUAAACUAAUGAUUUAAACGAUUGAAGAUUCGGAAUUGAAAGUGAAACAUUCUCGCGUGAAAAAAAUAAAUAAAAAAUAAAAUAUUAACAAUGUGUAUAAAAUGAUCAAAUGUAUGUAUUAAAAAUGAUUUAAUUCAAUGAAAUUAAUGUUUGUGUUUCUUGUAAUGCAAUAUAUUAUUUGAAUGAAACCACACAAAGAAAAAACAUGUACAAUAAAGGUUAAUGUGAAAAUAAAAAUACCUUGGAAAACUAAUGAAAUUGGUGGAUAUCAAACAUGUUAAACGAUUGAAAGAAAAUAAAAAAUUUGUGAAACAAGAAAAUAAUUAUACAAAUUAAAUGAAACUAAGAACUAAAGAGAAUUUUUUUUUAAAAUGAUCUAAUAAAUUAAAAAUAUUUUAAUAAUUUGAACAACCUGGCGUACCUUCACCGAGGGUCUCAAGCCCCUUUUAUAGAUAUUCCGCCAACAAUUUUUUCUAUCAAUAAUGUAAUCUCAAAAGAAGAGCAUUUGAUCAUAACAUAAAAAUCACCUGCUAACGGGCACCACUUAUCUUCAGGUGCUAACAGCAGGAAAACAUUUUGCUUUACGAGUGCACCAUUAUUCUCGGAUGCUUACUUUUUUAUUCUCAACAGUUUUUUAAUUAAUAUGUAACUAACACGUAUUGAUAUAUAACUAACAUGCAUAUUAUAACCAAAAAAAAAUAUCUCUUUAUUUUUUAUCUUAAUUACCUUUCUUGAGCCGACCCACCUCUAGAGCCUAAAUGCCAAGCGGACCUCUCCAAAUACCUGUGCCAAGGUCACGAAACCUCUUGUACAAUACAAUACAUAUUCAAAACAAAAAUAAAUAUUUUAUAUUAGAUAAAAAAAAUUAUUAACUGCAUGAUUUCAUGGCAUCAUCAAUUAAUUUAGUUUUCAUUAAAAAAAAAAUUAUCGAUGCAUGAAUUUCAUGACAUCAUCAAUUAAUUUAGUUUUCAUUAAAAAAAUGAAAUUAAUGAAGUUGACUUUCAUCAACCAAGUCAAUUCCAAAUUACAAUCAUAUUUUAAAAAGAGAAUUAUUUGGAAAUUUAAAAAAUAAAGUAAUUACCAUAACUCCUUCUAAAUUUAAAUUUAUUUUAAAGAAAACUUAAUCAUCAGAGUGUAAUAAAAAGGUAGAACUCCCUCUGUCCAACAGAGUCGAGUUCCAAACUUGUAAGAGAAGAAAGAACAGAAACAGAGCUCUCCAUCCAGUCCACUCGAGGUCAAUUGGUGAGAACAUUUGGCGCCAACUGUGGGACACGAUAAAACCUUAUCCCAUCCACAUUCAUUUUUUAGCUUUCUUACUAGAUGAGAAACAACAGACAGGGAUCGUUGGGAUCCAAAGGAAGUGAUAUCCUUGCUUUACAACAACUCAUGGACACCAUGAGAGCCCUUUAGGACGCAAAAGAAGAAUUCAAAGCUUAGUAGGAGAGGCUGCAAGCGAAAGCUAAAGCUGAGAGAAGAGCCUUUGUCUUCGACACGACCAAGCACCCCAUAGCAAACGCUUGCCCCAUAUGCUUCAUGGCGUCUAGAUAAAGGUUAACUUCAUCUUGGGCCAUGAGCCAGUCUUUGUCAUCGCUGGGUAAGAAAGUGGGUUCACCAUGGGUGGGGAUGUCGAAGCUUGGGUCCCAUAAGCUUUUCCCCCUUGAGCUCCCCGCCUCGCACUCUGGGACGAUGUUGACCUCUUGAUGGCCUUUAGAGUGAGCAGUGCCAAGGUAGGGAGUUCGACCAUCAGAAUGUGAGUGCUUAGCAGGGGGAGUAGUCGCCCUUCUUUUUCUCUUAAUGACCAACCUAGAGGUGGUCUUCUCGUCCCGCUCGGUUGAAGUUUGGACAACUAUCGCUAGGGCUUCUUUGGUUUAAGAGAUUCAUUGGGCAUCUUAGCAGUUGCCCUCAUCCUUUUUGCCAUCUCUGCUAGCUCUUCUUUGUUGAUUUUGGACAACAUUUUUUUUGCAAAGAAAACAAGGGAAUGGUUAAUAACAAUGGUGAAAUUAGUCGUACCAAGGAUAGGGAAUGGAAAAUACCAGUAUAAGCCUUUAGAGCACCAGAAGUGAAAUAUUAGCUCAGAAGAGAAGUGAUGUCGAAGAAGACCUUUAGGUUCGUCAGGAAUUUACAGACCUCCUGAUCUGAAGGGGGCAGGUCCUCCAGGCGCUGAGCAGUAUGGAAUCGAGGUUCUUUGGUCCAAUACAAAGGAAACCCAUCCAGAAGGGUUGAAUCUCCUUUUUUGAUAAUUUACCUUUAAAAAUUUUAUAAGAGGAUUGGAAGAAGGUGAGAAAAACUUCAACAAUCGACGAAAGGCCGAGCUGGGAACAAAGAAUGGUGAAAACAUGAAUGAAUGCCCAGCUAUUCGAGUGUAGCUGGGCAGGAGCUACAUUAUGCUCGGUUAACAACUCUUUUUCAAAGAUUGAUAAAGGAAGACGAAAGAGAACUUUUUAGAAAACGGUGGCAUAAAAAAAACAUAAUGGACCAUCGAGGUCAGAGGAUUCAUCACAACAUACUGGCUCAUCCUCCCUACAUGGAAUUAUUCUUACAAAUCUAUCAUGUUCUUUACCGAAAUGACAACCACUUUUGCGUAAAGCUACAACAGUUUCACGAGAGGUAUAGGAGGAGGUUUCAUCUAAAAGGUUUUGGGGUGCCCAGAGGUACACGGUUUUGUAAUCCAUUACAGAUUAUAUCUAGAAUAAACACAAACACGAAACAGUCACAAGCAUUGUUCAGAGUAAAAUAAGGGCACAUUCUAAAGUCAUACAAUGCAAUCAGCAAGUAAGCAACAAUCAUCGGCAGAAAAUGAUAAAUCCAGAAAGAAACCUAGCUUAGGCAAUAUGAUUAAUAAUGUGAAUGCUCGAUGAUGAGCUCAGGAAGUACAAUCGACAAGAUGAAUGCUCGAUGAUGGAGAAAGCUAAAGAGAAAAUACAUGUUACGAUAAGUGAUUAAGAGGCAGGAGUUUCUUUGCUACGGAAGAUCUUGAGUACACGAGGGUUUUUGGAGUGAGGAAGUGGAAGUGUGGAGAAGAAGCUGAAAAGUCUGCGAGGGUUUUAGAGGUUUAAGAGAAAUGGAACAGUGACGUAAGAGUAAGUUUAUGAACAUUGGCUUAUAUGAGUAUGGGAAUGCCAAGCGAUAAUGCUUUCCCACCGUUGAUGAGGAUGUCACGUGUACGCUCAGGAUUAAGUAUGGAGAGACGUCACUUCAUAGACACUUCAUUUAGCGUGCCUUACCUACCUCGUGGGAAGACGUCGCGUCAGUCACCAAAACACUAAAAAGACUCUUCGCUUAACCAAGCUCAGCUAGAGCCUGGGGGCUUGUGUACUAUGCAAGAGGGCUUGUGACCUCGACCCAAGUAUUUGGGGAGGUCCGCUUGGCAUUUGGGCCCUAGAGGUGGGUCGGGAGCUCGACCUAGGUGGGGGUUGUCUAGGAGAGGUAAUUAAGAUAAAAGAUAAAGAGAUAUUUAUUUUUUGUUAUAAUGUGCAUGUUAGUUAUAUUUCAAUACGUGUUAGUUACAUAUUAAUUAAAAAAGUUGUUGAGAAUAAAAGAGUAAGCACUCGAUAAUAAUGGUGUACACGUAAAAUAUAAUGUUUUCCUACUGUUAGCUCCUAAAGAUAAGUGGUUCCCGUUAGCAGGUGUUUUUUCUGUUAUGAUUAAAUGCUCUUUUGUUGAGAUUACAUUAUUGAUAGAAAAGUUGCUAGCGGGAUAUCUAUAAAAGGGACUUGAGACCCUCGGUGAAGAUACGAUGUUUCUGAAUACUAAGAAUGAAAUUGAUUUGAUAUCUCUAAUGCUUUCACUGACUUGAUCGGAGUGUAAUCAACAGGUAGAGUCCCCUCUGUCCAACGGAGUCGAGUUCCAUACUUGCCAGAAAAGACAAAUCAGAAGCGGAGCUCUCCAUCCAGUCCACCUAAAAUCAACCGACGAAACAUGUAUAAAUGUAUAAAUGUGUUACAUUCUUAUUUUAAUAUUUUAAAAUUAUGUUCUCAAAAAAUGUCAUAUGAUUAUAAUGCAUCAAGCAGUCAUUUGACAAGUGUCAAAUAAAUGUCAGAUGACUAUUAUGUCACCAAACAUACCCAUUUGACAUAGUUAUAGUACUAUUUAUUAGACACCUUUGCAUUUAGCAAUUCAAAAUUAACAUAGAAUAUAACCUGAAAUGCAAGUAAAAAGUGUACUACAAGAAAAUCAUGGAAUAAAAACCAAUUUUUAGAGACCAAAAUAAUUAGUUACAAUAGGAACUAAAAUAGAGACCAUUUUAGAAACUAAAAAAAAAUGGUUUCUAAAUUAGUUUCUAUUAUUGUUAAAUAGUUUCUAAAUUGGUAUCUAAUUAGCAACUAGAGUUUUAACUACCAAUUAUUUAGUUUCUAAAUUUGGUAGCAAAAAUCUUGGUUGCUAGAUACCAAUUUAGAAACUAUUUAACAAUAAUAGAAAAUAAUAUAAACUAAUUUAGAAAUCAAAUUUCUUUUUAGUUUCUAAAAUGGUCUUUAAUUUAGUUACUAUUGCAACUAAUUAUUUUGGUUUUUAUAAAUUGGUUUCUAUUUCAUGAUUUUUUUAGUGGUGAAAGAAUAUAAUAUAUAAAUGUCUAACCCAGAGUUUGACUUUACAGAUAGUAGAAGAAGAAAAUAAUAUAUAUAUAUAAGAUGGAAUAAAAGGAAUAAAUAUAAUUUUAACAAAUGGUGAGACUCAGUUUUAUUUCCAUAUGUUUUUGUCGAUCUCUCUUUUGAUAUUUUUUCCAAUUAAACACAUUUAAUUUCAUACUACUUCUUAUUUAUUUUCACUUUAUUUAUUUAUUUUGUCUUACCUAGUCUUUUUCUCCUAUUCACCAAGCACAGUCUGAUUGAGAGAGUUGAGUUACUAAAGGAACGCGAGAAUCUUAUAUUGCAAAUUAUGAACUAUAAAUUAUGAUAUAUUAGUAUAUUUUUAAAAUUAAAUAAAUAUAAUGAAUAAUAUUAAAUAUAGAUACAUUUAUUUUACUAUUCAUAAAAAAAAUUUCUAUUUAAUAAUAAUUUUAUUAUUACAUUUUUUAAUUUAAAAUUCAAACUUCUACAAGAUUAAGAUAUCUUAUUUCACAUAUAUGCAAUAUUAUUUUAUAAAAUAACAUUGUAUAUACAUAAUAAAUAAAUUUUAUAUAUAUAUAUAUAUAUAUAUAUAUAUAUAUAUAUAUANNNNNNNNNNNNNNNNNNNNNNNNNNNNNNNNNNNNNNNNNNNNNNNNNNNNNNNNNNNNNNNNNNNNNNNNNNNNNNNNNNNNNNNNNNNNNNNNNNNNNNNNNNNNNNNNNNNNNNNNNNNNNNNNNNNNNNNNNNNNNNNNNNNNNNNNNNNNNNNNNNNNNNNNNNNNNNNNNNNNNNNNNNNNNNNNNNNNNNNNNNNNNNNNNNNNNNNNNNNNNNNNNNNNNNNNNNNNNNNNNNNNNNNNNNNNNNNNNNNNNNNNNNNNNNNNNNNNNNNNNNNNNNNNNNNNNNNNNNNNNNNNNNNNNNNNNNNNNNNNNNNNNNNNNNNNNNNNNNNNNNNNNNNNNNNNNNNNNNNNNNNNNNNNNNNNNNNNNNNNNNNNNNNNNNNNNNNNNNNNNNNNNNNNNNNNNNNNNNNNNNNNNNNNNNNNNNNNNNNNNNNNNNNNNNNNNNNNNNNNNNNNNNNNNNNNNNNNNNNNNNNNNNNNNNNNNNNNNNNNNNNNNNNNNNNNNNNNNNNNNNNNNNNNNNNNNNNNNNNNNNNNNNNNNNNNNNNNNNNNNNNNNNNNNNNNNNNNNNNNNNNNNNNNNNNNNNNNNNNNNNNNNNNNNNNNNNNNNNNNNNNNNNNNNNNNNNNNNNNNNNNNNNNNNNNNNNNNNNNNNNNNNNNNNNNNNNNNNNNNNNNNNNNNNNNNNNNNNNNNNNNNNNNNNNNNNNNNNNNNNNNNNNNNNNNNNNNNNNNNNNNNNNNNNNNNNNNNNNNNNNNNNNNNNNNNNNNNNNNNNNNNNNNNNNNNNNNNNNNNNNNNNNNNNNNNNNNNNNNNNNNNNNNNNNNNNNNNNNNNNNNNNNNNNNNNNNNNNNNNNNNNNNNNNNNNNNNNNNNNNNNNNNNNNNNNNNNNNNNNNNNNNNNNNNNNNNNNNNNNNNNNNNNNNNNNNNNNNNNNNNNNNNNNNNNNNNNNNNNNNNNNNNNNNNNNNNNNNNNNNNNNNNNNNNNNNNNNNNNNNNNNNNNNNNNNNNNNNNNNNNNNNNNNNNNNNNNNNNNNNNNNNNNNNNNNNNNNNNNNNNNNNNNNNNNNNNNNNNNNNNNNNNNNNNNNNNNNNNNNNNNNNNNNNNNNNNNNNNNNNNNNNNNNNNNNNNNNNNNNNNNNNNNNNNNNNNNNNNNNNNNNNNNNNNNNNNNNNNNNNNNNNNNNNNNNNNNNNNNNNNNNNNNNNNNNNNNNNNNNNNNNNNNNNNNNNNNNNNNNNNNNNNNNNNNNNNNNNNNNNNNNNNNNNNNNNNNNNNNNNNNNNNNNNNNNNNNNNNNNNNNNNNNNNNNNNNNNNNNNNNNNNNNNNNNNNNNNNNNNNNNNNNNNNNNNNNNNNNNNNNNNNNNNNNNNNNNNNNNNNNNNNNNNNNNNNNNNNNNNNNNNNNNNNNNNNNNNNNNNNNNNNNNNNNNNNNNNNNNNNNNNNNNNNNNNNNNNNNNNNNNNNNNNNNNNNNNNNAGGGCUUACCCCUUUGAUUCCAAAAUACAUAUUUUAUCCUUUAUACUUCACACGAUACAUAGAUUAUAAUAAAUAAGUAUAUUUAGAAAUAUAAAUUUAUGAUAUAUUUAUAUGAAUAGUUUCAAUUGUAUUAUAGGACUUUUUUUAAAAAAAAAAAAAAUCCUGUUUAUAAUUUCUGUUUAAAAAGUUAAUGUAACUCAAGUGAUUGUUGUAGAUAAAGAUAAAAGAUGGUAGAUUAAACCAAAUAAAUAAAAAAUUGUAAUUUUGAAUUGGGUUAGAUAAUAUAUUUCUGGACAAUUAUAAGAGUAGAUAUUUAAUUAAAAAAUAAUUUUUUUAACUUAUAUAAAUAUUUUUAAUUUAUAAUACAAAAAUAAAUAAAUAAAUGUUAAGGAAUUGAUGGAGAGUUAUCGUAAACUUCAUGUAUUCAAUUCCUGCGUAUAAAAACAAUUUUUGACUAUAAAUAAACCAGGUGAUCUAUGGGAGCUAAACUACUAUGUAGAUUUUGAAAUCUGAUCAAUUCUUUCUGCAGAAGAAAUGAAUAAUUUCGUGGGAUUCGAUGGUGGAUUUACUGAAAAAUAAAUGCUAGUUACAGGAUAGGAUAUAAUAAUAAUAUUUACCGCUGAUAAUUAAUGAAGAAUUGAAUCAACGUUCUUUAUGUUACUGGUGCAUGAAUCUGUGCAUCCCAACAAAUUAAAACUAUCCUAUAUAUAAAAAAUAUAUAUACUCCAAUAAAAUGCAAAUGGACAAAAGCUAAAGUUGCUCAUCAGUAGACUAAUAUCAAAUCCUGUUUUAUUUUGUAUACAGUUAAGUCAAACAAUAAUUAAGUUUGAAGUGGGGCAUUUUGUCUUCUCUGUAAUAUAAAUAUUCCAAUAAUUUCUUUGUGACUGUAGUUAUCCUUUUAUGAAAAUGAUGUUAUUCUUUUAUUAUUAUUAUUAUUAUUAAAACAAGUAAUGUUUUAAAUAUUUUGGAUUUGAAUAAAUUUUGUUUGAAAAUAUAAUUUUAAAGUGAAGAAGUCUUUAAAAACUAUUCUUUAAACGUACUAUUUUUUUUAUUUUUUUUAGUGAAGAAGUCAUGAAAAGCUCUUUAUUUAAUAAUUAAGAAUGAUAAGAUAGUUUUUUUUUGUGAGAGAGACCAAUAUGGCGAGAAAUGCGUUCAAUGCUUCCUAGAUACAAUCGUAACAUUUUUUAUUUUUUAUUGUUUGAAUGAGUUUUCUUCUAUAAUUUAUUUUUAUUAUUUUUAUAUAUUAAGAAUUGAAUUCAAGUUUUCCUCCUGAUAAAAUUGAUUAUAAAAUGAGAAUUAUCUUCAUUUAUAUAGUAUAAAUUAGUUUUAUUUUUAGUUUAUGUAAGAUCUUUAACACAUUUUUUUUAUGUCGAAACAUGUACAUUUCGUGCAUGAAACUAGAUAUUUGUGAGUAGUCCGAUAACGAUCUAAUAACGAAUGACACAAUAAAUCUACUCAACCUCACUAGGAUAGACUCUGAUAGUAUAUUAAAAAUGAGUUUAAGUCUAUUUCAUUCUUAUAAAACCAACUUAUAAGAGGAGAAUUCUUCCAACUUAUUUGUAUAUUAUAAAUUGAUGUAGGACCUAAAAUUGAUUGAUAGUAAAUAUUACACUAAAGCCCAUGAUAAACUUUGCUCUUUGCUACUUUUAUCAAUGGUGUUGCAUUUUAUGCAUCCCUUCGAGGCCAACUAUUUUUUCGGUGGAUUGGUGACAAGAUGGAAGGAAUGUGAUGAUCAUUAUGCUUAUGAUUAUAACCUCAAUUAUUUCAGUCUCCUAAUCUUGCUUCUUGUAGAGGUAUUUCUCAUGGGAAUGCAGAAGAGUUUAUUGGUGAUUUCUCUGCGUUUCUUUAAGUUUAGACUGCUAUGAUUGCUAAGUUUUAUGGAGUUAUACAUGCUAUGGAGGAAAAUCAAAAGAUGGGGCUUACUAUGGCUAGAAUGAGAUUAUGUCUUGGUUUGUGAUGCGUGUAUUGCUAGGACUAAUGUUCUGUGGAUGCUUCGUAAUAGAUAGAAUACUUGUCUUAAUUACUGUGGGAAAAUCAUGUUUAGAAUUACUCAUAUUUUUCGUGAAGGGAAUGCGUGUGCUGGUAAGUUGGUUAAUUUGAGAUUUAUUCAUAGAGAACCAUUUCAUUGGUAUAAUAGACUUCCAUCUAGUCUAUUCUUAGAAUUCCUCAUGAAUAUGUAUAGUCUACAUAUGUAUCAUUUUUGUUAACAUAUGAGUUUUGGUCUAGUCUCCCCAUAUUUUUUUUUAUAUUUUAUUUCUUUUUUCUUUUUUUAAUAAUACUUUUUUCAUGUAAUGAUAGAUGAUUGUUGUUACUUGACGUGUCGGCUUACCUAAGAUAUCAAGUUACAUAAUGAUACCUAACAUGAAUGUUUUUAUAAAAAAAAGACGCUAAAGUUGUUAUAACCAUCCAUUAUCACUUCUAGUUUCUUUCCGUCACUAUUAUGUUCAAGUAUGUCAAAAUUAAGAAAAAAAAGUGUGGUUUAAAAAAAACAAAAAAGUGUUACGAAGCAAAAGAAAUUAAAAAAUAAACUAAAAUCGUAUUUGGAAACACAAUUUAAAAAAUAAAAAUAAAAAAUGGAAAAACACAAUUUUAUUAAAAAGAAAAAAAUGUCUUUAGAAACACCAUUUUAAUGCAAUGCGAACGGUUUGAGUGAAAUUCAUGGUUGAAAUCCUAAAUUUUUUCAAUUUGAAUUUAAAAGUGCUUCAAAACAUGAUUUAUUUAAAUUUAAUUUUUUAAAAAAUUUAUCCAUUUUGAUAAUAUAAAAAGGAAUGGCAGUGUUUAAAAAAAAAACUGGGUAGUGGGUUACUUUGCAUCCACAUUUAUAUGCGAGUAGAACCAUAUCUUUUAUAAUGGGACAAAAACAUUGCUUCAUGAAUCACAUAUCUGGUUUGCUCUAUCUCAAUAUUAUGGCUAGGCUCAUUGUACCUACGCUUAGACAAUGAUUGGGGCUCAUAUUUCUUAAGUGUCUUCUCUCAUUCACAUUACUGCAUCUUCUAAAACUAAUGGGUAGAUCGACAUCACACUCUCACCAUAUACGAAUAUAAAAUUAUCAAUGUAAAUGUGAAAACUCAACUUUCACUCAAAAAUUUAAUAUCUUUUUCAAUUUCUUUAGAUUAUACAAGUUUAGUUAGGAAUAUGAAGAUAAACAGAUUGAAAAACAAUGAUAAAUGAUAGUUUAAUUUUACUAAAAUUAUAUUGGAUGUAAGAGAUUGGAGAAUAUGUAUUGUGACCCUUGCCUAUUUAAAAAGUAUUUUACUAUGUCUUUUCUAAAUCUAAAUUAAUAAUAUUUUUCUUUAUAUUUUAUCUACUACUAAUCAAUCCAAUCAUAUGAUUUUUAAGAAAUCUUUCCACUUUGUCUCUUACUAGUUUCUAUUGUACUAGUCAAUUACACACUAAAUCCUAUUUCUUUCCUAUUUUGAUUUUAAGCAAAAGAAAUUUGAUUAGAUGUAAUAAGGAUUAAAGUGUAAGGUGUGUUCACCUAACUCCAACCCACCACUGCCAAAACAGGUUAGUGAUCUAACCAUCCCUCAAAAUUGAAAUGGGUCCGUCAAGAAGUUGAAAUUAGUAACUUACUUCAUUAAAGGAUAACUUGGUGGACUCACACACCACUUGUUCAAUAUUUUACCUUUUUAUUUUGAAUUUAAUUAUUUGAUUAUAGUCAUUAAUAUUAUUUUUUGGACAAUAAAAUAAAAUAAAAUAAAAUAAAAUAAAAUUUAAUAUUUUAAUAAAAUAAAAUUUAAUAUUUUAAUAAAAUAAAAUUUAAUAUUUUAAUAAAAUAAAAUUUAAUAUUUUAAUAAAAUAAAAUUUAAUAUUUUAAUAAAAUAAAAUUUAAUAUUUUAAUAAAAUAAAAUUUAAUAUUUUAAUAAAAUAAAAUUUAAUAUUUUAAUAAAAUAAAAUUUAAUAUUUAAAAUAAAUUAAAUGAUUUAUAAAAACAUUAAUAUUAAUAAAAUUGUAUAUAAAACGUUGAUCGCCACCAAUUUUAAUUCAAAAAAAACUUAAGAUUUCUCUUCAAAACACAAAGAAGAAAGAAGUCGGGUUGGUAAACUAACUCGCUCCGUCUUUGUCCUAUCAAGUUAAUGACUUAGUCAAACUGAACCGAUACAAGUUGACAGGUUAAAAAAAUUAAUUGCCCUAUCCUUUUUAUCAUCUACCCACUAGGAGUCUUCUACUACAAACUAACAUAUAAAAAAAAUUAAAAAUAAACGUUUUCACGACCCCUUGCAUCCCAUUGAUGUUUAUGAUUAGGGUAUAAGCCUCCAACUUAGCUUUAGUUUAAUAUAAUUUUAUACUAAAUUUAAAUAAAUUUAAUUCAAUUAUGUUAAAUUGGAAAUACCUUUUUUUUUCUAUAUAGCCACUCAAUUAAAUUUUGGGUUGAACUUGAUCAUAAUUUAAAAAUAAAAUAAUUAGUUAUUAUGAAAACAAAUAUUUUAAAAUACAUAUCUAAUAUUUUUUUAACAAUUAUCGGAUAACAUAUAAAAAAAUACUUAUUUGAUAAAUUAUAAAAUUAUUUUUAUAAUGAAAUUGUUAAACAAAUAGUCUUUUUAUAAUCGGGUUGGACGGGGUUUACUUGAUUUGAAUUCAUACACCUAUCCAACACAAGAAAUAUAAUUAAGUGGAGUUAGAUUAUGCGAAUUCACAUAUUAGGUUGGGCAUAACAAGCUUACACUCCAAUAUCUACUCAAUACAAAUUUUCUAUUUUAUUAAUGGCAGUUUCUUCCUACACUCCCACAUUUUUCUUCCUGCACCCCCACAUUGUUUAUGCAAAGACUAAACUGUCUCUACUAUUAUUUAAAAACCCUAAAAUGCACUUGAACUGUAUUUAUUUUUUGCAUUCUGGAUUAUGAAAUCCAGAAAAUUUUCAGAUUCGCACUUCCAGUUAAAUUUUGGAUCCACCAAUCCAUAAUUCAAAAUAUGCAUUUCACAUUCAAAAAUUCAUCAUUAAAAAAAAACAUUACGAAUUCACCAAUCUGUAACAGAAGUAUGCAUUCUGGAUUCAGAAAUCCAUAAUUAAAAAAAAAAGCAUUUUGGAUCCAUCAAUUCGUAACAAAAUUAGGCUUUCAGAUUCAGCAAUUCGGAAAACAAUAAUAUAUGCAAAAUUUGCUUUUGAAACACCUCAUCCAGAAAAAAAAAUGAUUCAGUUUCGAAUUGAUGAAUCCGUAACACACUCCCAGAUCUCAAUUUUCAGUAACCACGGUGCCCUUUUUCGAAUAAAAGUUAUGGCCAGUUUCGAGAUUUAGAAAAUUGUGGGGGUGCAGGAAGAAAAACAUAGGGGUGCAGGAAGAAGAAGCCUUUAUUAAUUCCUGCUAGAGUUUUAGUAAAGGCCCAUUAGAAUGCGUGAUGGCCCCAACAUAAUUGGAUUUCUCAGGUUUCUCUUUCGGCUGAUUCUUCCUGCACCAUACUAUUUUUACAUGCAUCCAACAACAUUAUCUAAAAAGUCUUUUGUACCUUAAUGAGAAAUCUUUGCCUUCCAAAUAUUAAUAUCCCUAAGCUUAAUCAAAUCAUUAUGAAAAUCCAGAAUUCAGAAAAUACUUUUAGAUAUGGAUAUCCGGAACUCAUAGCUCAUAUACACUUUUGGAUAUGAAUAUACAAAACUCAUAGCUCACUUUUGGAUAUGUCCAUUCAGAAGCUUAAAUGAGAAAUAAAAAUCACUUUCUAGAUUUCUAUAUCCAGAAGCCGCGACAAUGAAUUCUGGAUUCUUGCAUCUGUAACCAUACUACAGGCUUCCGGAUAUCGAGAUCCAGUAACAUUUCAGCUAAAAAAAACCGAAAAACGAACAUGGAGGUUGGUUUCUUACCUUAGAACAAUUUGCACUGCAACUAAGUAUGAAAACUUCCCUUCACCACCAUAGCAACUCACUACACCACCAUCAACUUCGUUCAAAAUGCACACCAAGCACUUCUCUGUAGGUCUUUUUCAAAACAACACAAGGACAAUUUUGGAUUUAAAAAUUUAUGUUGAGUGCAUAUAAAAAAUAUAUGGUGCAAAGAGAAACUUCCUUCUCUUUUUGUCAAUUGGUUCCUUCACUAGUACAAAAAGGUAAAUUAACGACGGUUAAAAUCGACAUUUAAAGACGGUUCCAGAACCGUCGUUAUUACAGGCGUCGUUAAAAGAUAUGAAUUUUUAACGACGGUUCUGGGAACCGUCGUUAAAAGGUAUGGACUUAUAACGACGGUUGUGAAAACCGUCGUUAAAAGUGGUUUCUAUUUUUCAAAAAAAAAAAUUACCGUGACUUUCAAAGACGUAUAAGUGUCCCUUUUAAAGACGGUUCCAAGUGGAACCGUCGUUAUAUGUACUGUUUAAAAAAAAAAUAAAAAAUUUUAUUUUUUAAAAAAUCUCAAAUAGCCUGCAUAAAGUUUUCAAUUCCAGAAAAUAAAAACAUUUCAAAUCAUAAUUUAAAUAUAAAAAUUACAUACAACAAAUUAUAACAUAAUACAAAAAAGUUUGGUAAUAUAUGAAAAAAUUUGUCAUUGUAAUGAUUUAUCUAUACUAGAGUGUUAUACAUGGUUACAAAAUACUUUGACCAUGUUGUUCUCACAUACUCCAAUGCUUCUAAAUCUAGCGGGUGUUGGUCGUUGAACAACUGUGACAUUUGAAAUAUUUUGAAUUAGUGCAUGAUUAAUAAAUCUCAAAUUUUAAAGUGUUUAUUGUAUUGAGGUAUUACCUUAUCCCAACCUUUCAUAAUUUCAGCUUGCAAAAUAGUCAACAUCCACUGCAUAACAUAAUAACCGCACUCAUAAUUUUGAGGUUGCCUGUUGGACUGCAUGUGAAAAUAAAUGUAUUANNNNNNNNNNNNNNNNNNNNNNNNNNNNNNNNNNNNNNNNNNNNNNNNNNNNNNNNNNNNNNNNNNNNNNNNNNNNNNNNNNNNNNNNNNNNNNNNNNNNAACUCCAUCUUUUCAACAGAAGUCUUGACGUAGAUCACUCAAUAUGUAAUCAUGAAAAAAUAAAACAAAAAUGCCGAAGGUCGGACACCUCCGGACUCAGAACCAAUGCGUUCAAUAUGUCAAAACAAUAUAUAAUCAUUGAAAAUUAAAUCAAAACUGCCGAAGGUCGGACACCUCUGAACUCAGAAUAAAUUCGUUCAAUAUAUGCAAUCAAUAUCUAAUCAUGAAAAACUAAAUUCAGAUUGCCGAAGGUCGGACACCCUCGGACUCAGACUUAGUACAUUCAAUAUAUAAAAUCAAUAUCUAAAUCAGAACAAACACUCUCAAAAUAUAAUAAAUCAAAAUUUAAUACAUAAUUAAAUAAUAAAUAAACAUAUACUAACCUCAAAAUAUAAACACUGGUCGCAGGGGUAGAGCAAGAUGGCGCUGGUGUUGAGUGGGGCGGCGCUGGUUGCAGGGUUGUGGCAGCGUGAGGCCACGCUGGUCACAGGGGGCCGCGGGUGAGCUCUAGUCGCGGCAAAGCAAGGCGCGUGCGAGGCUAGGCGGCGCGGGUGAGUGCUAAUCGCGGCAGGGCACGCGCGAGGCUAGGACGCACGCGAGUCUAGGGCGGCGCGGGGAGCUGGGGCGGCGCGGGGAGCUGGGCCGGCACGGAGCGCACAGGGGCGCGCGAGNNNNNNNNNNNNNNNNNNNNNNNNNNNNNNNNNNNNNNNNNNNNNNNNNNNNNNNNNNNNNNNNNNNNNNNNNNNNNNNNNNNNNNNNNNNNNNNNNNNNCUAGGGUGGAGAGCUAGGUCGCGCGGGCGGUGGAGCGGCGACACUGGCGAUGGCGUGAAGGUACUGGGUGCGGGUGAGAAUGAGAGAAAGAGGGAAACUGGAAUGUGAAAAUGAAGAGAGGGAAGGCGCGCUGGUAAGGGAAAAAUUAAAAAAGCAACUCACUUUUAACGACGGUUCUGGGAGAACCGUAGCGAAAAAACCUACUUUUAACGACGGUUCAGUAGGGAACCGUCGUUAAAACCUCCUCAUCCACAUUUAACGACGGUUCAAGCUAUAACUGUCGUUAAAAAGCCAAAAAAAAUUCAAUAUAUUUACGGAACUGCCACCGCCUCGCUUAUUACAAUGGUUCUUUUCUAACCGUCUUUAAAGGGAGUCGUUAAUGAAGUUUUUUGUACUAGUGCUUGUACAAUAAACGAUUUUUUAUUUAAGUAUUAGAGCUAUUUUGUUUUACACCCUAUUUACUCAUGUAUUUUUAUAGGAUGUAAAAAAAAGAUAAAAUCGUCUCCUAGUUUAUUUUAGGAUUGAACAAUGUAUAAAAUACUUCUAAAUUAUAUAAUUUAAAAGUUUAUUUUAAAUCUAAAAAUCUAUUAGAAAUUACACAUUGUAGAAAUAUUUUUCUUUUCUAAAUUAUAUAGUCUAAAAGUAAAAUUAACCUCCAAAUUGUUUAGUAAUUUAAUAUAUAUUUUUAAGUUUUAAAUUACACAAUUUUAGAUAUUUUUGAAUUAAACAUUUUAAAAAUAACUUUAAAUGAAAGAGAAAAGUAAAAAAUUUAAUAUUUAUAUAAAUAAGAUAUUUUGUAUUUGAGAAACAAUAGAAAAAAAGCAAUAACAUACCUUAUGGUAGAGGGUAAAGCUUUGAAGUGGCACACAACUCUAACAAAUUUUUUUCCCUAUUCAUCUAUAUUAUCGUGGUCUGAUUUUACUAAAAGACUGAUUGAGCGUUUUGGAAAUAUAUGUGAUGACCCUAUGGUAGAGUUAAUGAGAUUAAGACAAAGGCAUUUAGUUAAUGACUAUCAUGAAGAAUUUAAUUAAAUUAUUACAAGAUUGAAUAUUUUAGAUGUCUAUGUUUUAAGUUGUUUUAUUGGAGGCCUCAAGAAAGAUGUACAGAUGAUGGUCAAAAUGUUUCAGCCUACAACUGUGAGUCGUGUUUUCCCUUGCAAGGAUGUAUGGAGAUGCUAACCUUGUAUUUAAUUCUAACAAGAGAAAAAGAGGAGUAUUGAGUCCUACACCGACAUGUCCAAUGAGAUUUCAACCAAUUUUCUCUAUGAAGCCAAAAUCCUAGAGAAAUCUUACACCUGCAUACAUGUCUAAAAGGAGAGUGAAAAUACUAUGUUAUUUUUGUGAUGAGCCUUACUCCAUGGAACAUAGUUUGGUUUGUAAGAAAUUGCAUAUUCAUGUGAUGGAGAUGGAGGACGAAAACAUUAUUGUCGAGGAAACUACAAACAAGGAUGGGGGUAGACACAGUUGCCUGAAUCGCAAAUUCUGUUAAUGCAUUAACAAGGAUAAGAGGAUUUCAAGUCAUGCGGAUUACAUCUGUGCUGUUGUGGAAUGUUUAAAGUUUGUUGGUUGGUGGCGGAAUAGAGAAACGAAGGGGGUUAGUUUAUUGGUGAACCUACAUGCUGUACAGAGGAUGGCUGUGGAGUUGAGUGGAUGUAUGAGUGGUUGAAUUUGGAGCAGGGAUCUUGCUGGCAGUAUGAGUUGAGGUCUGAGGAAGGUGCUAGUUUCGAGCUGAGACCGGUUAGAUAAAAAUCUUGUUCCCCUGUUCUCUGUUUGAAUCAGCUUUAGGCCCUUGUAGGUGUAAGUAUAUUCAGGUCACGGGUGUGAAUAUGCUGGAGUUGUGUGGAAGCACCUCAGGCACUGCAGAAGCUAGUUUUUAAAAGAAAGGAAUUAAAGUCCUCUCAUGGCGUGUCCAUUGGAAGAAAGGCUGGUGUUGGGAUUCCAAUGCUGGCUGCAGUUCGUCAAUGGGAAUAUCAGUAUAAGUCUGCUGUUGACUCUGAUGAAGGUGUCUUUGGUAGAUGAUGGAAGUGAGAGCUCAAGGGGUACCCCUAAUCUGCUUGGGGUGCAGUUGCAGGAAGUGAUUUGGGUGGCUGUGGAGCCAUGGGGCUGAUCCCGGGAUGGUUAGGCUUUUUAUGCUGGAGACACCUUGCAUGGUUGAGAGUAAGCACUGGUAAUUUCUUAGGACUGUGCUGAAUCGCAGUGGAUAUAGUGUUGACAGUGGAUAGUGGUGUUCAUGGUUCAGAAAACUUUUCAAAUGGCAAUAUCAUCUUGGUUGUUUUGACAAGGAUCGUGGUGCGAACGCUGUGAAAAGGUAAAAGCUGUAAGUGCAGGUCAUGGACGGAAGUGGAGUGAAGGUGCUGAAGCAAUAAGCAGGGGUAACGAAGGAAGGCUACCUGCGGCUAAAUAAAUGUAGGAGUGUUUUUUGGGUUUGUAUAUAGUGAUGCAGGAAAGAAGUUGGGUACGUAUGUGGUUUCUAUAGCCUUACCACAUCUUUUUGGGGUUUUAUCACGUUUGCUGCACCUUUCGAGAUGUAUUUGUUUCUGUUUAAAUGUGUGAGCUGGUGGGUUAAAUACCCACUAUGUGUGAUGUUGGCUACUUGUCUGUUGGGUGUGCCUCUGUUUAUAUCCUACGGAGAAGUAUCUUUAGUUAGUGUAUACGGGUUGGGAUACCCCUGAAGUAUCCCACUAAUUUAAUUUAUUUCAUUGCUGAUAAAAAAAAAGUCAUGCGGAUUACGGGAUAUUACCAAAAAACACCAAUGCACAUUUUGAUUGAUAGUAACCACAAUUUAUUGAAUGUUGUUGUGUCAGAUGAGUCUAAAAUAUUGAUUUCUUCUAUGGUUAAGAAUUUUAAUUGGACUAUUUAACAUACAAAUUUUACAAUACACAUGUUGUUACUUCCCCUAAGGUGUUGUGAUUUGGUCUUGGGCAUAGAAUGGUUGAUACAAAUAGGAGAUAUCAUUUAAAACUUGAUAAACUUACUAUGGAGUUUAAAGUUCAAGGAGGGAGACAUGUGUUGAAAGGAGCUACAACAAACAAGGUAAAAAACUGUUAAGAAACAACAAUUUGUAAAGCAUUAACAAAUGAUGUGCACUUGUCAAUGAUGCAAGUAGGGGAUGAAACAUGAACUUUAUUGCAGUCUUUAACAACCCAUGAGGACCAAUCAAGAUUACCUAUCAAAGUAGAAGAAUUACUAAGAGAAGUAACCUACAAAUUAGAAUUUCCUGUAAACUCAAAAAUUCAUAAUGUGUUUGCAGUCUCCACUUUGUUGCCUUAUCAAGUUGAGGAGAGGUUGCAGGAGAAGGAGCCCGAAGACAUCUUGGAUAAGAUAACUGUAAAGAGGAGGAGAAUGACAACCACCAAGGUGCUUGUGAAAAGGAAGCAUGAACUUUCAAAAAAUUUUACAUGGGAGUUUUAUUACGAUAUGACAAGAAAAUACCCUUCAUUUCAUUUUUGAGGACAAAAAUGUGCUGAUAGAAGAAGCAUUGUUACAUAUUAAGUUUAUUUUUAAGGGUUUUUUCAGUUAAGCAAUUCCUUGAACUGGAUUCACCACCUCUUCAUUACCUAAAUAAAUAAGACAUUGUAUUUGAGAAAAGAUAGAAAAAAACAAUAAAAUACCACAUUUCCCUUCUCACCCUUUCUGUUCAUUUCCUUUUUUCUCUCUCUAUUUCUAAUUCAUUUUCGUUAAUAAAUACCAAUCAAGGAUUUUCUUUUUCAGCGGUGAUCUUCAGUGACUCUAAGGUGGAACUCUAUACCGUUUUUGACUUAUCAAUAUAACAUUUGUAUAAUUUUUUUUCUAUAUUUCUCUUUAUCACUUCACUCUUCCUAUUUCAUAUUUUGAUUCAUUUUUCUCUAAUUCUUCUUGUAGAAUUAAAAGUUAAACAAUAUAAAUCAAAAUAUAAUUUCCUUUUUAUAAAUUAUCUUCAAGUACUUCUAAAAUUUCUCAUUUUUAGACUUUAACAAGAGAAUUGGAUAAAUAUAUAAUUAAAUAAAACUAUUUAAAAUUAGAUAAAAUAUUCCUAAAUUUCAAUUAUUUUUUUAUCAACAAAAUGUUAGAUGUCAACACGAUAAUUUAUUUGAUAGUGAUAUCUCAUCUUUCAUUUCCUUUUUACUAUUAAACUAAUCUUAUAACUCGUCAUUUUAAGUAAUUAAUGUUGUAACAACCUAAAAAGAAAAGAAAGAAACACAAACACCCACAUGGUCUUUUUCUCUUUCUUUUUUCUCUCUCCAUCUCUCUUCAUCUCUCCCUUCUCUCUUCAUUUCUCACUCCAUACCUCAUCUAUUUUAGAAUCUGAUCGUACCACGCUGUAGUAGAGGAAUUAAGAAACAUUUCUACCCGAACAGAUUCUCUAACAGAGUAAGUUCAUAUUUGCUCUAAAGAUCCUUUAUUAUCUAUUUUUCCUUAGGAUUUAGUCAUCAAUCUUGGUGGGUCACUUGAGAAAAGUUAUUUGCUCAAUUUAUUUUGCUAUAUAUUGAAUAUUUGUUAUAUUUGGAUAACUUGCAUUAGGCCCUUAUAUUUUGAAGCUUAUCCAGACUGAAAGACUCAAAUUUUAGAGGUUGCUUUGAAAGCAAACAAUUACGGUAAGGGAAGCUAAGUUUAACUUUCAAUAGUACCUAAGGUUAGAAGAUCUGAAUGUAGAGGGGAUAUGGUCUCAACUUUCAAUUUCUCUUGCAGGAAUGUUAUUUGAUACAAUUGUUUGAUUUUAUGUUGUGUGAACAUGUAUAAAUAUUAGAUUUUGAUAGUUUGGAAGUUAAAUAUGGUUUUUGAUGUUGGAAAGGUUCUUAAAUGUUAUGAAUUUUUAUGUGUUAUGUGAUUGAAUGAUAUGUAUUAUAUAUGAAUGAUGAAAAUUGUAUGAAAAUGAUGUCAUACAUUAUAAUGUAUGAGUUGUUGUUUGAUGAUACUUUAAGUAUGAAAUUGCAAUGUUUAAUAAAGAUCCUCUAGCUUCAUUGAUGAUCUAAGUCAUAUAGACUAAGAUAUCAGGUGGUUAGAAGCUUAUGAGAGAAUUCAUACACACCGGGUCUCGUUGUAUACACUCGGUAUUGGAUGUUUAAAGUUAUCCUGAUCCUUGAUGUAUGGAUUAGAUGUUAGUCUCUGGUAGGGACAUACUUAACGAGUCUUCCGGAAGAUGAUGGAUUCAUGUGUAGUUAUUGGAUUGAAAUGAAAUCCAAUGAUUGUGAUUGAAAAUAGAUCCAUGUGUGAUCUAUAUGAAUGAUGGAAUUGGUAUUAAAAUUUUAUAUGACAACAUUUAAAGAAAUGUUUAUAAAUGAUUAGUCUAAUUGGUUCUUUUUGCAUGAAUUAAGUAUGUUAUGGAAUUUCUUUUCAUUAGCUUACCAUUACUUUUCUUGUUGUGUUGUGAACUGUGAUGAUUGUACUACGUAGAUGGGAAAAUGAUCAUAUAGGUGCUGGGGUGCUUUAGGAUGUUGUUUUGAACCUUAUAUUGUAAAUAUUUGUAUUUGUAUAAGUUCUAAUCAUGUAGUAGGAAUGUUUUGAAAAACUCCAAGCUUGUGUAGAAACAUUUAGAAUUGGUAUUGUAAUAGUUAGAUGUAUUUUUGGUGUAUUAAAUUUAAUGGUAUUAGAGCAGUUCAUCCUUAGCUUAACCUAAGGGUAGUGGGUUUAUUGUGUUUCUCUUGCGUGUAGAUUUUUGUUUAGUCUAACUUCAAGACUUAGUUAAAAGUUUCUAAUAGGAUGUUUAACAAAGUUGUUUUCUUGAAAUCCUGUUUGUGCUGAAGUCAAACUAGUUGUUAUAAAUAAACAUGAAAGUAUUAAGAUUUAAAAGAAUCUUGAUAGAGUGGUGAGGGUGCACACUCAUGACUAGAUCAAGAUUAUUUUCUAUCUUAAUUCUAAUUAGUUAGAGUACAUUUUAGAGCUAAGUAUUUAUUGUUUUUUUACUUGUUUCGUGUGAUUAUUUCUUUUAAGUUAAUUUGUCUUAAAGAUGUAGUUGGAAAUUUUUAGUAAUUUCUAACCCAAUUCUUUAUUUGCUUAGAAAAUGGCACAUAGAUUGUUGGAAUUAAUGGCUUAAAGAAAAUGGGGGUGAAUUGUUUAUCAAAGAUUUUCGCAAAGAUUGAAUAAGAAUGAAGCUUUAAUACAAUUCACAUAUUAAGCAAUCAAGGAAAGCAAUCAAACAAUGAUUAAGAAACUGUUUGCAGAAUUUCAAUCGGUUGAAACUUCGUUUUAACCAGUUGUUUAUAGCAAGUAUUAAAGGAAAAGAAAGAAUAGGGUAAAUCCCUUGUGUAUAUUGAACACAUAGGGUUAUGUUUAUAUAGGAAAAGAAACAUAUGGGCGAAGCCCAUUACAUAAAUACGAGAUAUCUAACAAUAUCUAUAGUAUCUAAUAAUAUCUAACACUCCCCCUCAAGCUGGUGUAUAUAGAUCAUAUGUACCCAGCUUGUUACAAAUGUAAUCAAUCCUAGGCCCUCGUAAGGGUUUAGUAAAAAUAUCUACUAAUUGAUUAUUUGAAUUAACAAACUCAGUCUUGAUAUCUCCCGAUAUAAUCUUUUCUCGAAUGAAAUGACAAUCAAUCUCAAUAUGUUUUGUCCUUUCAUGAAAAACUAGAUUUGAGCUAAUACGAAGAGCAGCCUGAUUAUCACAUAUAAGUGUCAUUUGAGUAACCUCUCCAAAUUGCAAUUCUUUAAGUAACUGUUUAAGCCAAAUAAGCUCACAAGUAGCCGAGGCCAUACCUCUAUAUUUUGCUUCUGCACUAGAUCUUGCCACAACACUUUGUGUCUUGCUCUUCCAAGAGAUCAAGUUAUCACCAAUGGAGACACAAUAACCAGAAGUUGAUCUUCUAUCAGAUGGAGAUCCUGCCCAAUCAGCAUCUGAAUAACAAAUGACUUUAGUAUGGUUAUUAUGACCAUAUAACAAACCUUUUCCAGGAGAGCCUUUAAUGUAAUUUACUAUACGAAUGACUGCAUUCCAAUAAUCUUCACAUGAAGAAUUAAGAAAUUGACUCACCACACUGACUGCAAAGGAAAUAUCAGGACGAGUAACAGUGAGAUAGUUCAAUUUUCCAACUAAUCUUCUGUACUUCUCAGGAUCUGAAAGAGGCUCCCCCUGAUUGGGUAGAAGCUUGACAUUGGGAUCCAUGGGAGUAUCAACAGAUUUCGAAUUCAUCAACCUAAUUUCCUCCAAAAUAUCUAAUGCAUAUUUUCUUUGAGAGAUAACAAUACCAGUAUUGGAUUGUGCUACCUCAAUCCCUAAGAAAUAUUUGAGUUUGCCAAGAUCUUUGGUCUGAAAGUGUUGACAGGUGUUGUUUUACUUGUGAGAUGCCAUGGUGAUCACUGCCUGUAAGAACAAUGUCAUCAACAUAUACUACAAGAUAGAUACACCCAACACUCGAGUGACGAUAAAAAACUGAAUGAUCUCCUUCACUGCGAGUCAUACCAAAUUGUUGAACAACAUUGCUAAAUUUUCCAAACCAAGCCCUAGGAGACUGCUUGAGGCCAUAUAAGGAUUUGCGAAGAUGACAUACCAAUCCAGAAGACUCCCCCUGAGCAACAAAACCGGGAGGUUGCUCCAUAUAAAUUUCUUCCUGCGAAGAAAAGCAUUUUUAACAUCCAGUUGAUAAAGAGGCCACUGUUGAAGAGCAGCCAUAGCUAUGAAUAAGCGAAUAAAGGCCAUCUUUGCUACUGAAGAAAAAGUAUCACCAUAGUCUAAACCAAAAAUUUUGGUAUGACCCUUAGCCACAAGACAAGCUUUGAGACGAUCAAUAGUACCAUCAAGACCAACUUUGAUAGCAAAAAUCCACCUGUAACCAACAACAGAUUUCCUAGAAGGUAAAGGAACAAGUUCCCAAGUUCCAUUAUUCUGAAGCGCAUUCAUUUCAUCAAACAUGGCCUGACGCCAACCAGAAUGAGCUAAGGCAUCACCUACAGAUUUUGGAAUGGAUACAGAAGAAAUAAAUGAAAGGCAGGUAUAAAAGGGUUGAGAUAGUCUAUGGUAACUCAAAGAAGUAUAAUGUGGAGAGGGAUUACGAGUAGAACGUAUACCUUUACAGAUUGCAAUAGGAAGAUCAGGUUCAACAGUCGGAGGUUCAACUGUAGGAGCCGAAGGGGGAUGAGGUGUUGGCACCGGAAUAGAGUUUGCUGAUGGACGAUGAGACGUUUGACGACGACUAUACACUUGAAGAGUUGGUGGCGGUGGUGAAUCGUUAGGUGCACUAGGCACAACAAGAGGAAUAUUAACUUGAUUAGAUGAAGAAAUUGAAGGAGAAAGACAAGACUUAAAGUAAAGGGAAGAUUCACUGAAGGUGACAUCUGUUGAAAUAAAAUAACGGUUUAAAGACGGUGAGAAACAUUUAUAUCCUUUUUGUGAUCUAGUGAACCCUAAAAAGACACAUUUGUGUGACUUAGGAGAUAAUUUAUCAAGACGAGGACUAAAAUUAUGAACAAAACAUGUGGACCCAAAAACUUUGGGAGGUAAAGAGUGGAGAGGGUCUUGUGGAAAUAAAAUAGAAUGAGGAAUUUUGUUAUCUAAAACUGAAGAUGACAUGCGAUUAAUGAGAUAACAUGCACUAAGAACAACAUCACCCAAAAAACGCUGAGGAAUAUCACCAUGGAUUAAAAUAGUACGAGUUGUUUCUACAAGAUGUCUAUUCUUGCGCUCAGCCACCCCAUUUUGUUGAGGCGUAUAAGAACAUGAAGUUUGAUGAAGAAUACCAUGAGAAGCCAUAAAUUUUUUAAAAGAAUGAGAAAGAUACUCACGUCCAUUAUCACUGCGCAAAAUUCGGAUGGAAAUUCCAAAUUGAUUUUUAAUUUCAUUGUAAAAUAUUUGAAAUAUAGAAAACAACUCAGAACGGUUUUUCAUUCAAAAUACCCAAGUACAUCUUGAAUAAUCAUCAAUAAAAGUAAUAAAAUACUGAAAUCCUAAAUUAGACUUAAUACGACUUGGUCCCCAAAUGUCAAAGUGAACUAAGGCAAAAGGAGAUGAAGCACGUUGUGAGACACUACUAGGAAAAGAACUACGAAUGUGAUUCCCUAACUGACACGACUCACGAUAAAGUAGACACAUUAGACAAACUUGGAACAAGCUACUACAUCUUGGCAAGAAUAGGAUGACCCAACCAAGCAUGAAUGAGAGAUGGAGAAUCCAUAAUUGCGCCAACAUGUGCAAAGAUCUAUAGUUGAUAAAGUCCAUGAGACUCACAUUCGGUGCCAAUCAUCUGUCCCGAACUCCGGUCCUGUAAAGUAACACAAUCUUUGGUAAAAGAAAUAACACAAUCAAGGGAACGGGUGAGACGACUAAUGGAUAAUAAGUUAAAUGGAGACCCAGAGUCAUAAAGAACAUUAUCAAUAGAUAAAAAAGAAAAAAGAUUAAUAGUACCAACACGAUGUGAUGGUACCCUAUAUCCAUUGGCAAUGGUAACCGAAGGUAAAUAACCUGUAGUAGAUAGGGAAGAGAAAAAAGAUUUAUUACCAGUAAUGUGAUCAGUGGCACCUGAAUCUAGAACCCAAGGGCCAUGGGAAGUGAAGUGAGUGAGGCCAACAAAAGAUGUACCUGAAUGUGCAACAGAAGCCGUGGAACUAGGGUUCUGAAGAUCCUCAUACCAUUUAAGAAAUUCAUUGAAAAUAGCAGGCUGGCCUGGGGUAUCAAUUGAAGUAUGGUCCAUGGUAGAAGGUUGCACAGGGGCAAUUUGAGCAACCGCAACAGAUCUAGGAGGACGACCAUGUAUGGCAUAACAACUGUCAAUUUUGUGGCCAAGUUUGCCACAAUGGUCACACUUGUGACGCCCUUUGCCCGACUUGUGAGGGCGAGUACGAUCAUUAUGCUGAGAGACUAAAGCAGAAGAGUCAUCAACAUGAGACGUUAUAUCAGUGGUGUGUUUACCUGGCACGUGCAAAAGGGUAGAUCAAGUGGAAGUAAAAUUGGGCACAAUAGGAGAUCCCAAAAUUUGAUCACGAACAUGAGAAUAAUCAUCAGGAAGGCCAUGUAAACCCAAUAACAUGAAGAAGAGCAUGAAGUUUACCUAGAUGUUCUGCCAUUGUACCAUCAAGACGUUUGGGAGCAACAAUUGUGAGAAGAUUUUGACACACACCAUAAAGACAUUGAGUAUCAUUGGUGUAUAAUAAUUUUGCUUGUUCCCAAACUUCUGAACAUGUCUCAUAGGUAUGAAAAAUUUGUUUUAAAGAUGAGUGAAUGGUCGAUUUGAUACCAAUGCAUAAUUGAGCCUCAAUUUUCAACCAACGGAAAACCUCAUUUUCAGCAAGAGUAGGAUAAGUAAGAUGAUCAACAUAACCUUAACUCUUAAACCAUAAUUUAAUAUCUGAUGCCCAAGUGUCAUAAUUGGUUCCAUCCAAUUUGUCAAUGGAAAGAUGAACAUUGACGUAAUUAGUAUAAAUAAAUGAAUCCGGCAUAAUGACUGCGGAAGAAGCCACAGUGGUAGCGGCAACAGAAGAAGCCAUAGUGGCAGCGGAAGCGGAAGAAGUCAUAGAAGAUAAGGACAAAUCCAGUCACCGGUUAAUUGGCGGCAGCAACAAAGAUGAAGGCUCCGGUAGCGAUUCCGGCAGCGUCUCCAGUGGAGGCUUCGACGAGAUUCCGGUGACGGCUCUGGCAGGAUUCCGGUGACGGCUCCGACGAGAUUCCGACGGCGACUCCGGUGAGGGUUCGAUGGUUGCUCCGGCGAGACAGUGGGGUGGUGGCUGGAAAAUUCCAGUGAAUAGUGGGUUCACCAAUAAAAAUUGAACCCAAAACCCUAACCUUAUGCUCUAGAUACCAUAUUAAAGAAAAAGAAAGAAUAAGGUAAAUCCCUUGUGUAUAUUGAACACAUAGGGUUAUGUUUAUAUAGGAAAAGAAACAUAUAGGCUAAGCCCAUUACAUAAAUAUGAGAUAUCUAACAAUAUCUAUAAUAUCUCAUAAUAUCCAAUAAUAUCUAAUUAUAUCUAAUAAUAUCUAAUAAUAUCUAACAGCAACAAUCAAAACAUAAUUAAAACAAAUAGUUUAUAAGGAGUGAGAGAGAGAGAAAUUUACUUAGCCAAUUUUAUACUGGUUCACUCAACCUUGAGCUACAUCCAAUUCCCAGAACAACAACUGGGUUCCACUAGUAAUCACUCACAGAUUACAAACAACACAACCACAAAGAGGUGAUCUUGAAACCACAAGAACCACUCACCCUCUUUGCAACCACACACCUCUAGUUCAAACAUGCUCUGACUUUACAGUAUUUCACACACACUUACAAGUUUAUGAAAGAGCAAUUACAAGAAUCAUGAAAGGAACAAAUUACACCUGAGUUUACAGAAAUCAGAAAGCUCCUAUGAUCAGACCUUGAACCAGUGCACAACUAUUCAACAAUCUUGCAAAACUUUUGAAAAACUUCUUUCAAAACUAAUCUCAAUCUCACUGUAUUUGAUAUAAAACUUGUGUAUUUUUUUUUAAAAGAAAAGUCAUAUUAUAGUACUCAAAACUAGUCGUUAUAGGCAGCAUUUAUGAGCCAAAACAAUUUUGAUUCACAUCCAAAAUAGAUUAACAGAUUUUCAAAAAGCUGUUAUGAAAUAUCACAAUCAACCGGUUGAAAAGUCGGUUUAACCGGUUGAAUUGGUUAAGCAGUUAUUUAACCAAAUCAAAAACAGUUUUAAAACCUUAAAACAAGCCAAGUGACAAACAACCGAUUAUUUCGAGGAUUCAACUGGUUGUUUUUCUCUUUGCUUAGAAAAACACUUUUCUCUUUUAAAACAAAUUAAGCAAGUUUGUCAAGGGACUAGGAAAUACAAAGAUUUUAAACACCCUAGAAUAAACCCAAACCAAAAGCAGCACAACUUCAACCUUCAUCAUGGAUUUGAAACAUCAAAGCUCCCAUGCUCUUCAUAGACCACUUAAUACUCCUCCAGUAGUAUAUAUGCCCAACAUAGCUCGAGCAAUAGAGAUGAUGACAACAGACUUCCAACAACAGAGUGCUACUAUGGCACAACAACAUUAGGUCGCCCUUCAUCAAUUAGAAACAACUAGAUUAACAACAGAAGCGUCUCAACUUCGUCAACAACCCCAUACCUUUAGUAUGGAGGAUUUUUUGAGACAUAAUCCACCAAAAUUUAAUGGGAGGGUAAAUCCAGAUGAAGCAGACCAGUUGAUGUUAGAAAUAGAAAGAAUAUUUGAAGCUACUCAAUGUUUUGAAGAGAAGAAGUUAUCCUAUGCCAUUUAUGUUCUAACUGAAGAAACUGAAUUUUGGUGGAUAGACAUGAAGCAAAUGAUGGAAGACAAAGGAGAAUAUGCUACUUUCAAAGCAAGAUUCUUGGAGGAAUAUUUUCAUGAAAGUGUCAGAUAUGCAAAGGAGAUUGAAUUCAUGUAGCUAGAUCAUGGAAAUAUUUUUGUCACUGAGUAUGCUACCAGAUUCAAACAUUUGGCUAGAUUUUAUACCCAGACUAUGAUUGAAGCUUGGAGAUGCAAAAAAUUUGAGUUUGGAUUAAGACAUGAGCUUAAGGAAGUGGUAUUCCCAAUGUCCACUAGAGAUUCCCUGCUCUAGUGGAGAAGGCAAAGGUGGUGAAGAGUUGAAAAUUUGUAGUAGAGCUAUUAAGCCACAAAUGGUGGAAGGACCUUAUACAAGCACACCCAAAUAUGAAGAUAAAAAUAAGCCUUAUUCUGGACCUCAAUUCUUCAGGAGUGGAGGGCUUACUUCUCAGUUGCUACAAAAUGUCAAAUGUUUUAGGUGUGGUGGGGAACAUAUAGUUAAAUUUUGUCCCCAUCCAGUGCCAAAUGUUACAUGUGAUAGAAGCCAUAGAUAUGGUCAUGCUACAAAGGACUAUCGUGCCAGACUUGAGGCCCUAAGUAAUACUGGAGUGCAACAGAAUAAUAAUCAGAAACCCAGAGCAUCAGGCAGAGUUUUUGCCAUUAGUGGAGUUGAAGCUCACAAUCUAAUAGCCUUGUUAGAGGUAUUUUUUCUAUCCCUGGAACAUAUUGCAUUGUUUGAUUAUGGGGAAACCCAUUCUUUUAUAUCUUUUGAUUGUGUUGAAAAACUUAAGUUGCUAGUCCGAGAAUUAGAAAUUGAGUUGGUGGUAUCUACACCAACAAAAGGUAUGGUAGUAACUUCUUCUAUGAGUGUUGAGUGUCCAAUAAUUAUAGAUGGGCAGAAGUACAAGAUCUACAUGAUUUGUAUACCACAGAAAGAUUUAGAGGUUAUAUUGAGAAUGAAUUGGUUGUCUACUAAUCAUAUCCUUAUAUAUUAUGGUUAGAAGAAGUUAAUUUUCCCUAAAUUAGAAGAAAUGCAAGUUAUCUCUACUCAAUAGUUUGAGAGAGAUUCAAGAAGGUACAUAAUGUUUUGUGCUCUUAGCUUGUUCUAUAGUUAUUGAUAAAGUGCAAAAAUAUAUGUUUGUAGUUCAAGAGUUCAUGGAUGUAUUUUCUAAUGAGAUUCCCAGACUUCCACCUAAAAGAGAGAUAGAAUUUGCAAUAGACUUGAUUCCUGGAGCAGACCCUGUAUCAAUUACUCCAUACUGAAUGGCACCAUCGGGGUUAGCUAAAUUGAAGAAACAACUAUAAGACUUACUAGAGAAACAAUUCAUUCAACCUAGUGUUUCUCCAUGGGGAGCUCCUGUGUUAUUAGUGAAGAAGAAGGAUGGUUCAUCUCGUUUAUGCAUAGAUUAUAGAGAGUUGAACAAGUUAACAAUCAAGAAUAAAUAUCCUCUUCCUAGAAUUCAUGAUUUGAUGGACCAGUUGCAUGGGACAAUUGUCUUUUCUAAGAUAGAUUUGCGCUAAGGUUAUCACCAAAUUUUAGUGAAAGCGAAAGAUGUUCAGAAAACUGCUUUUAGAUCAAUGUAUGGUCACUAUGAAUUUCUGGUUAUGUCAUUUAGUGUGACCAAUUGAUACAACCCAACUAGACAAUGAGAUAACCAAGGACACAACAACCACUUCACAACUAAGUCCGUCAUCUCAGCAGAAGAAGAACUGAACAUAGACCAGAGUAUCAAAUGUUCUUUCUUCUGGUUUUUUAAAACACAAGUUUAUGUAAAUAAAUUGGGCUCACUUUGGAGGUCCAAAUAGAAGAAUAAGCUAGAGUAUGGUUGACUUAGCAUAAACUAGGUUGUACUUAGCAUAAUCUGGGCUUGUACCAAGCCCACCUUUCAUGACAAGUGCACCUAGGUUUAGGAUUUUUUGACCUACCUUCUAGAAGGUUUCUCAUAAAUGACACCCCUACCGCUUUCACUCUUGCUUCCCAAGUCACUCUCUCUUAUAUAAAGGGAACCUUGCCUCAUGUAAUUGAGACAUUUAAUUUUGAAUAGAAAAGAAACUCUACAUGAGUGUUUAGUGUGCUUGGUCUCCUAGGAAUUGGGUCUUAUCUUGGGUGUUUGUGCAUUUCAAGUGGCGGCUCUUCACCACUCAUCUUGGAGUCUCCUCCCCCUUUAAAUGACGUGAUUCCUUAUUCCAUAAGCAUAUCUUAAUAUCUUUACCCUUUUGUUUUUCUUUCCUUUCCUUAUGCCAUUCUUCCAUACUUUUAUUCAUUUAUAUUUAGCUAUCUUCAUCAUCUUAUGCUUAUUUUCAUGUCCUUUAUUUCCACACCUUCAUCAUCAUAAUCACCAUAUUUGUGUUUUUUCUUUUCCCUCUAGAAGUGAACCUUCACACUUACUUAACCACUUGGUUAAGUUUGUGUCCAGUGAGAAUCUUCUUUGGGUUUCUUACCAUAAUUGCUAAUGUCAAAACUCAAACAAAAGAGUAACCCAUAAAAUGGGCAAUCCUAAAAUCAACUCACAUCACCAAUGCUCCAACUAUCUUCAUGGAUUAUAUGAAUUGAAUAUUCAGACAUUUUCUUGAUAAGUUUGAGGUAGUGUCCAUAGAUGAUAUCUUUAUCUAUUCAGAGAUCCCCUAGCUUCACUAAUGAUCUAACUCGUAUAGACUAAGAUAUCAGGUGGUGAGAAGUUGAUGAAGGAGUUCAUACACAUUGGGUACCGCUGUAGAAACUCGGUAUUGGAUGUUUGAACUUAGCCUGAUCCUUGAUGUAUGAAUUAGAUGUUAGCCUCUGGUAGGGGCAUACUUAAUGAGUCUUCCAGAAGACGUUGCACUAUUGCAAAAAAGAUUUAUUUUGACACAACAUUUAAGGCGCUUUUACAGCCAGACGUGUCCCUCAAAAUGCGGUGGAAUUUUUUAGAUUAAAUUUCUCUAAAAGGACGACUAUUUGGUAAAGUCGCCUUCUUACAACAAAUCGCUUAGUGUAAGGAGGCUUUACCUCAUAGCUGCCUUCUUAUACCAAGCACUUUGUUGUAAGAAGUCAACUUUACUAAAUAGUCACCCUCUUAGACUCUUUUUAUUACCCUAGCUUAGAGCGUGCCAGUUACGCUUUCAUACUUCCUUUGUCUCCGACACUUCAUUUUCUCUUUUUCUCUGUGCUUCUUCUUCGUUUUCCUCGAGCCAUUGUCUUCUUCGUGCCAUUGUGUAAGUUUAUUUCGAGCUCUUUACUUUUUCUUUACCAUUGCUUUUUUUUUUCUUUCUCUUAUUUGUUUCUUUUCUACCAUUUCUGUGAAGGUCACCAUUCCUACUGUUUCAUUGCCUUUAAUGUUAGUCUUUCGGUUUUCACUAUGCCCCAUUUGCUCGAUCACCGUUGUCGCUGCUACCGUUGCCACCGCUCUUCACCUCCACCGAUGCCUUCACGCACAAGGUUGGUGGUGUUUUAAAUUUUUUUAAUGUUAUUAAUUUGUUUAUUUUUUAUUUAUUAUAAUUUUUAUUUUUUAAAAAUUUAAAUUAAUUUUGUUUUUAGGUUAGAAUAGAAUUAUUAAAUUAUUAGAUGGUAGAUAGAAUUAUUGUGUUGCUAUUGAGUCUAAGGGUGUUCGACCAUCAACAAUUCAUAUGUGUUGGUAUUGAUGGCGAGGAUGUUCGACCGUCGACAAUUGAUACGUGUUGGUAUUGAUGGCGAGGGUGUUCGACCCUAGAUAAUUGAUAUGUUUUGGUAUUGAGUCCGACAGUGUUUGAACUUGAAGCUUUAAUGUCUCCAAAUCCAUGAAGGUUGCUUGAAGACUAGGUUUUUUCUUGUGGGUAGAUUAGAAUUUGUCAAAACCACUCUUAGGUUAAUCCAAAACUAAAUCAAUCAAGCUCUUUAUAGAAAAGUGUUUUUCAAAGAAAGUGAUUUUUCAAUCGGUUGUUUUGCACUUGGUAGUUUUUGAAAGGAUUUGAAAAAGCUAAAAUUGCCUGACCUCAUAAUCAAAGCCAAUUGAAUCGAUUGAUUCACACUAUCAAUCAGUUAAUUUUUUGAAACCUUAACAAAAUUGGUUAAAUAUGUUAAAACUAUUUUUGCUUAUUUCAAAUCUGUUUUGGCCCUUGAUUGAUAGUCUGAAAGGACUAUUUUUGAGGCUAUAUAACUGGUUUUUGAAUCUCUAAUUAAUGAGAGAGAUCAUAUUACAAAAGUUCAAAAAGGUUUUCCAAGGAUUGCAAGAUUGCUUAAAGCUUUGCAUUGCUUAAGAGUGGAAUAGGAUCUACUGUAUUCAUUUUCGUAUCAGGUGUGAUCCUUCCUAUUCUUUGUUGUUUUUCAAUUCAUACUGUAAAAGUGUAAGAAACUGGUGUCUACAGUCAAAGGGUGUUUUGACCUGUAGUGGUUGUGUUUCAAAAAGGGUGAGUGUUCUUGAAGGGUUCAAAAUCACCUCUUUGGUGCUUGUGUUGUGUAAUCUAUAUUUGAUUGCUUAGUGAAAUACCCAGGAGUUUCUGGGGAUUGGAUGUAGCUCAGGUUAAGAGUGAACCAAUAUAACUCUUGUGUGUUAAAUCUCUUUAUCCCUAACUAUUUUUAAAACCGUUUAAUCUGUGAUCUUCCAAAGUGCUAAUAAAAAAGAAUUGAUUGAUUCGUAUAAAUAAUCGAUUGAUUUUCUAGAAUCAAAUUAAAACAACUUUGUUGUUUGGCUAAUCUGAUUGCUUCUUCUCUGAUUCUGCAUUAAUAUUCAUUCUUGUCCAGAAUAUUUGAAAAUCUUUCAUUAAACAAUUCAACCCCCCCUCCCCAUCUUGUUUAAGGCCCCUAAUUCUAACAUAAUGGAUGGACUGAUAAAAGCUUCACAAAAUUGCUUCAGUUGUUGAAGGAUAUGCUUCCAGAGGGAAACACUCUUCCUAAUCAUAAUUAUGAGAUAAAAAAGAUUCUUUGUCCAAUGGGUAUGAAGUAUAAAAAGAUACAUGCAUGUCCUACUGAUUAUAUAUUAUAUAGGAAAGAUUUUGAGUUGUUGAAAAGUAGUCAAAGGUGUGGGUUAUCACGUUAUAAGUUGACACAAAAAGAUGAUGAUACUAUUGAAGGGAUAGAAAAGCAUGGACCCCUAAUGAAGGUUAUGUGGUAUCUUCCCAUCAUUCCAAGGAUGAAACAUUUGUUUGCAAACCCAAAUGAUGCUAAUAAUCUUAGAUGACAUGCAGAUGAGAGGAAAUGUGAUGGCAUGUACUGACAACCAACAGAUUCUAUUCAAUGGAUGAAAUUUGAUGACGAGUUUCCAUAGUUUAGUAAAGAAUCAAGAAAUAUUCGACUUGGUUAGCUACAGACGGAAUGAAUCGAUUUGGUAAUAUGAGUACAAAUCACAUUUCAUGGCCUAUUUUACUAGUUAUUUACAACUUACCUCUUGGAUUGUGCAUGAAGCAAAAAUACAUGAUGUUGUCUAUGAUGAUAUCCGGUCCAAAACAGUCAAGAAAUGACAUAGAUGUUUAUCUACAUCCCCUAAUUGAAGAUUUGAAGUUGAUGUGGGAUCAGGGUGUUGAAGUAUUUGACGGAUUUGCUAAUGAAACUGUCAAAAUGCAUGCCAUGUUAUUUUGCACCAUCAAUGACUUUCCGACAUAUUGUAACUUAUCAAGGUAUGGUGUUAAGGGUCAUAAAACAUGUCCAGUAUGUGAAUAAGACAUUGCUUCUCAACAAUUGAAACAUGGAAGAAAGAUAGUAUAUCUUCGGCAUCGGAGGUUGAGAAAAACCUUUAAUGGACAUCAAGAGAUUAGUAGUCCACCAACUCCAUUAACUGAUGUUGAGGUUUAUGAAAAAGUAAAUAACAUAGACCACACCUUCGGUAAGUAAAAAAAAAGUCAUUUGUGACAAACAUAUGGAAGAAAAAUUAAUCUUCUUUGAUCUUUCGUACUGGUUGAGGUCAGAAGUCAGACAUUGUAUAGAUGUAAUGCAUGUUGAGAAGAAUGUGUGUGAUAGCUUAAUUGGUACACUUUUUAACAUUAACGGGAAGAUGAAGGAUGGUCUAAAUUCUCGUUUAGAUUUGAUUGAGAUGAACAUACGAGGCGAGUUGGCACCGAUAGAAAUGGGCAAGCAUACAUAUUUGCCCCCAGCCUGUUACACCAUGUCAAAAGAUGAAAAAAAUAAGUUUUUGUCAAUGUCUAAAGGGUGUGAAAGUGCCACAAGGACAUUCCUUAAACAUGAAGAGCCUAGUGUCAAUGUAAGAUUUGAAGUUAAUUGGGUUGAAGUCUCAUGAUUGUCACAUAUUUAUGCAACAAUUGUUGCGGUAGCUAUUUGUGGGAUCUUACAAAAAAUGUUAGACAUACCAUAACCCAUUUGUGCUCAUUCUUAUCUUCCAUCUGUUGUAAAGUCAUUGAUCCAUUAAAAUUAGAUGAAGUUGAAGAUGAAAUUGUUGUUAUCUUGUGUGAAUUGGAGAUGUUUUUUCCUCCAUCUUUUUUGAAAUCAUGAUUCAUCUAGUAGUGCAUCUGGUACGAGAGGUUAGAGUGUGUGGACGAAUGUACCUAAGAUGGAUGUAUCCUGUUGGGCGGUAUAUGAAAAUUUUGAAAGGUUAUGUGUAAAGACAUUAUCGUCCAGAAGCUUCAAUGAUUGAAAGUUACAUAGUUGAAGAAAGUAUUGAAUUUUAUUCAGGGUACAUGUCAAAAGCAAAUCCCUUAGGUCUUCCAGCUAACUCAUGGCACCACAGGCGGUCUACAAGUAAAUGUUUACGUGGUGUACAUGUGGUAAGAAAAUCUUGAUCAUAAAUCUUGAAAGCACAUUUGUAUAUAUUGAAUAACACAAAUGACGUUAUACCUUACAUAGAUGCUCAUAAAGCCAUUGUGAAGGAAAAUAACCCAAGACAACCAGAGAAAGAGGUCUUGAUGGAACAUAAUAGAACUUUCAUGCCUUGGUUUAAAGACGAGGUGUUAAAGGAUUCAACGACAUUGAAGACCUUGACCUGGUUGACUGCUGGAUUGAAGUUUGAUGUCAUUUGUUGUACAGGUUACAAAGUGAACAAUUGUAUAUUUUAUACGAAGUCUAUGGAUGAAAAGAGUACAUUUCAAAAUUUUGGUGUUACUCUUGAAGUCGAGUCAAUGCAGUUUUCCACUUUGAAAGAUACAAAUCCUGUACUUGGAUCAAUGACAUACUAUUGGAUUAUAGAAGAGAUAUGAGAGGUUGACUAUACUAAGUUUUUUGUUUCAGUUUUCAGGUGUAAAUGGGUUGACAAUAAAAGUGGGGUUAAAAUUAAUGAAUCAGGAUUCACACUAGUGGACUUUUGAAAGUUAUGGUAUCAAGAUGAGCCAUUUAUAAUGGUUCAACAAGCAUCUCAGGUUUUCUACGUCAAAGAUCCUAUGUUAGAACAUUGGUAUGUGAUUUUACACGGGAAAAAAAUAAGGGGAGGCCAUAGAUGAUAUUGAAAAUGGUGACCCCCGUUCAUUCACACCAAUGAUAAUGAAUAAAGAUGACGAUAUAGUUGAUGAUGUACAUGCAAAUCGUAAAGACCACAGUGAAGGAAUUUACAUAUGAACAUUCAACCCACUAUGGUAAUAAAUUUAGAAAUAUUUUUUAUAAUACGAAUUUAGAAUUUGAUGUAUUUGUUUUAUAUGAUUUUCUUUCGAUGCAAUGUAACUAAUGUUUGUUACCUAUUUUUUUAACCCAAAAAUGGAUGACGACCAAACUCCGAUCAAACCCUGAUCCAGACGAGCCAGUAGAGGACCUACUAGGUUGAAGCGUCUCUUAUUGAGACGUGUUGUUGAUGAGAAGACACUUGUUGACAUUGACAUCAACACUGGAGUGGCUUCUGGUCCUAAUGCUGAGACUUUUACCAACUAUCUUGAAGUUGUUUCUCGUGAGAGGCUCUCCAUUUUGAUUAAUUCAUGGGAUGAUGUGUCAGAGGUCGAUCGGAACAUGCUUUGGGAGGAUGUUCUGGUAAGCUUUACAUUAUUAUUAUUAUUAUCAUAUAAUGCUUUUUAAUAUUCACUGAUCAAUUUUAAUUUGAUAAUAUUAUUUUUGCAGACACAUUUUGAAAUCCCUAAUGUGGAACCGCUUCGAUCAAAUAUCAUAUCCAAUAUCAAAAUUAAAUUAUGUUAGUUUAAGUCAACAAUGAAGACGAAAUAUAGUUUUGGUAAGUAUAAAGCCAAAAAUCCUUGUUUAAAGUACAAACAUAUUGAUGAAGUGACAUAGCGUCUUUUUGUUCAAACCCGUGAAUGUGAAGCAUGGAUGGUAAAUGAAGUUACUUAACUAUUUUUAUUUAUAUAACAUUAAUAAUUUAAUAUUAUUUAAUUCACUUUGUUUAUUUCAUUUAUGACAUGAUCGUCGGAAGAAAGCUCAAGAAUAGCAUUAAAGAAUGUUACCCCGCACGUAUUGUCUCGUCUGGGGUAUCGAAAGAUUGAGUAAUCACUUAUGAUGGAAAAGGAGCAAUCCAGACAGGGGACUGGGUCUGACACUGAUAUAGGGGUUACUUCUCUCCAUCACUACCUUCCUACAACGAAAAAUGGAAGAUUGCCCGAAUUAAAAAGUCAGGUGCAUUUAGUUCUGACCAAUCACAAAUAGUCUGAGAAAAAAUUGUAAGUUAUUUUUAUCCUAUUUUGAAUUUAUUUUAAAGCAUUAAUUAUAGUAAAACUUAUAUGAUUUUGGUCUCUUGCAGAAUUCCUUGGUUGAGCAAAGCUCUCAAGGUAAUUUUGUACCUGAAGGUCAUCACGAUAUCCUGGUUGAAGCAAUUGGACAACCUGAACACUAUGGUUGUGUUCGUGCAGAUGGAAAAGGGAUUGGAAUUAAACUAUAUUUUGGAGCUACACCACGACACUCAUCCUCCUCUUAUGUGAGUUGAUUUUAAAUGUUUUCAUUUAUGGUGAAACUUUUACUUAAGAUUAAGAUUUUUAACAAUUAAUGGUGAGGACUUAAGGAAGAUUCCCACUGGACACGAACUUAACCAAGUGGUUAAGUAAGUGUGAAGGUUCACUUCAUAGAGGCAAAAAUGAAAAAAAAAAAGAUUUGGUGAGGAUGAGAUGCAAUUGCAGAAUUGAAAAUGGGCACAAGAUAAACAUCAAAGGUGGUCAUGGUGAUGAAGACCAAGGAGAACAGACACUUGAAGGCCAAGAUCAACAAAAUCAAGCCCAAUUUAAGGUCCAAACCCAUCCUAUGAGUACUUCAUCUAUUAUGCCUCAAAGAAUUACAAGAAGCAAGGCACAAGCUUUAGGUGAUGGACAUCAAUUAAUGUCUCAUUUUGUAAUAUCUUUAGAAUAGUUUCAAGAUAGAACAUUAAAAGGGAAGUAGUAGGAAAAGUCACUUUUUUCUAGAAUAGGAAGUGACUUGAAAGGGGCGGCAUUUGCAAUGCCUUUUCAUGUACCUUGCCUCUUCAUUUGCAAUGCUUCUUCAUGUAUCUUACCCAUUCAUGACCGAUCCUCUAUUCCUAUAUAGAGAGGAGCUAGAAUUUUUGUAAAGAGAAAUUGAUAUUGAAAUUGAAAGCGUUACUCUCCUCAAAAUUGAGUGGGUUCUUUGUGAGACUUCUUCUCCUUCUUCUAGUCUUAUCUUGUGGGUUUUGGGAGCUCUCAAGUGGUGGAAUUCUUCACUCAUCUUGAAGCCAUUCAUCCUUCAAGUGGCGUGACCAUUCCUGAUGUGAGUCGAUUAAGAGAUGAAGAAUUAAUAGAAACUUUCAAGAAUUGGAUCAAGAUUCUAAAAGCAAUUCAAGAACACAAAUCAAGAAACCCAUUAGAAACCCAUUUCAAGAACACAAAUCAAGAAAACCAUGGGAAACCCAUUUCAAGAACAUGAACCGAAUAGAACAUCAACAAGUAAUUCCAACCGAUUAAAACAAGAACCAAUGAAAAAAUAUUGAUUAGAAACAUUCAAUAACAACAUUUGACCGAUUGAAAAUCAAGAAAAAGAAACAAAAACAUGUUUUAGAGUUUUUGAUAUAGAAUGGGUAUGGAAGAAGAAUAUGAAGAGUUGAAGAAACUUAUGUGGUUGAAGACAAUGGGAGUGAUCACGCCACUUGGAUGGUGGAAGGCUCCAAGAUGACUGGGAGUGCCGCCACUUGAGGAUUCUAGAGACCCACAAGAUAAGACAAAGAGAAGGAGAGCAAGUCUCACAAAGAAACCACUCAAAUUCUAGAGAGUAACCUCACUUUCAAUUUCAAUAUUCAACUUAUGUUUACAAAAGCAAGACUCCUUUUUAUAUAGGCAUAGAGGAUCGGUCAUGAAAAGGUAAAAAUACAUGAAGAGUCACUUGUAAAUGAAAAGGCAAGGCAUAUGAAAAGACAAGGUAAAUGCCACCCCUUUUCAAGUCACUUCCUUAUUAUAGAAAAGUGACUUUUCCUACUAAUUCCCUUUUAAUGUUCUAUCUUGAAACUAUUCUAAAAAUAUUACAAAAGAUAUUAACUGAUUCAGACCUCAUCUUUUGAGAAAACUAAUAAGUAGAACUUCAAAUGCUUUGGGCUUUGUCCAUUUCUCCUAUUAAUGAGGUCUUUAUUUGUAGUUGAGAUGACCCUUCAAGGGUAGCAUCCUUGGUCAUCUUUAUGUAUUUUUGGAUCACAUCAUGCCCUCCAAGUUGGAGAAAAUUCGACCACGAAUUUAGUACUCCUGCAUAAGGCAAAGUCAGAUUGCAAUUAGAUAAGAGAAUGCACGAAGAGAUAGGAAAACUUGACUUAGCAUUUUGAAACAUUGGGAGUUCAUAAAAAGAUAUCCUAAAAACAGACCAUGUUGGAAAAAAUUGUUUGGGAAUGAUGAUAUUCUUUGGAAAAAAUCCUCUUAAAAGGUGAAAACCAUUAGGAGGUAUGUAAAAAUCAUCCUUAACAUUCUUUAUCCAAUAUGGUGUGGUAGUAGGAACUUUGGGAAAUUAAAAAGAUAAAGAAGAAGAAUACCUUGGAGGUUCAACUUGAGGCAUAGCACGAGUCAACAUUAGUGAUUUAGUUGAUAAAGUAUUGUGACUCGGUUUAUCAUUUCUUUUUUUUGCUUUCUCAUUAUCUCUUUUAGUUUUCAUUUUUAUUUGGUCCUCAUGAACCUCGUGGGGAGAGAGGGGUUUUAAGGUAACCUUGCACCCUUGGAAGGAAAAAGACUUGGUGUUGGAUAGGCCAUCAUGUAAAACAUGUCUAUCAUAUUGCCAAGGACUUCCUAAAAGAACAUGAGUUGCUUCCAUGGGCACAACAUCACAUAAAACCUCAUCUUUAUACUUUCCUAUUAAAAAGUUUAUGAGGACUUGUUUGUUAACAAUGAUCUCACCUAUCUCACUUAACCAUUGUAAUUUGUAGGGCUUUGUAUGAGAGAUAGUAGACAAUCCAAGCUUAUCUACCACUCUUGUACUAGCCACUUUAGCUCAACUACCCCCAUCCACAAUUAAAGAACAUAACUUGUUACUAAUGAGACAUCUUGUAUGAAAAAUAUUUUCUCUUUGACUUUCAUCAAAGGUUUUUAAAACUUGACCAAGCAUACGUCUCACUACUAGCAAGUCACCUUCAAGUGGACUUUCACUCUCAUUCUCACUUGGGGAUCUAGAAGGUGAGGAAUGUCUAGAGGUUUCAGAAUCAUGCUCACUAACCACUACCCCAUCAUGUAUAAACAUAUUUCUCUUUGAAGGGCAAUUAACAACUAUAUGACUAUAUUCUAAGCAUUUAAAACAUUUCUUACUAGACGAUUUUGUUGGUGACUUAUGAGUAGAAGUUGAAGGCUUAGAAUCUCUAGUUUUGAAAGAUGAUUAUUUAGGAGGAUACUUUGAAGAAGAUUUGAUUUUAUUCUUCCAAGAGUUGUUGUAGUAUUCAUCAUUAUGAGUGUUUUUGAAAGCAUUUUUCAUUGAAAUUUGAGAUUCAACCUUGAUGGCAAGGUGAACCAAAUUUUGUAAAGAUGAAUACUCAUAAAGUUCCACAACAUCUUGAAUAUCCCUCCUAAAAUCACUAACAAAUCUAGCCAUUUUAGCUUCCUCAUUUUCAUGCAUAUCUAUUUUAAUUAAAAGUGUUUCUAGCUCCUUGAAAUAAGCAUCCACACUUAGUGUGCCUUUGUGAAGUCGUUGGAGCUUCAACAAUAGGUCUUUCCUAAAGUGUGGUGGAACAAAUAUAUCGUGCAUACACUCUUUUAAAUCGUUCCAAGAAACCACAGGAGGUCUCUUGUUUAGUCCAAUGUCCAUAAGAGUCUUAUUCCACCAUUGCAUGGCAUAGUCUAAAAAUUCUAAAGAAGCUAGUCUAACCCUUUGGGCUUCUAGGACCUCAUGUACAUGAAAAAUUUGCACAACCUUUGCCUCCCAACCCAAAUAUACAUUAGGAUCACCAUCUCCACUAAAACUAGGUAAUUUUACAAAUGGAAAAUAAGGCUUUGCCACAUUUUGGCACCUAUCUUCGUGAUGAUGAUGAUGCCUCCUCCAUCCAUUUUCUUCUUCAUGGUCGUGAGAAUUGAAAGAACUUCUUGAAGAAUGUCUAUGAGAAUGACGGCUUCCAUGGUUGGAAUGGUUGGAUCUAUCAUGAGUCACUUCAAGUCUUUGUAAUCUUUCCUCCAAUUGUUUUAUGGCUUCAAAUUUUUGUGCAAGGGAGCAUUUUGAUUCCUUCAAUUCACCAAGGAUAAAUGCACUUUGUGGAGAAUGUGGCUUGGAAGAUUCACCACUUCAAUAAGUAGCCAUUUCAAAAAAAAAAAAAGACAGCAAACACAAUGAACAAACAAUUAAAGAAAACAAGGUUAGAAAACUAGAACAAGUAGUGUUGCGGUAAUGUCAAAUUAAAGGCACUCAAACCACUCCAAGAAAAUGAGUCUUUCCUCAACCAAGCUUCUCUUGGGGUUUGGGUAAUUCUCAAAUGAAAGAUGUCAAAGCAACCCACUCUUUCUCAAGGCCAAAACACCACAAAACUUUAAGGAACAAUAAAAGACAAUCAAGAAAAGGUGUAAACAAGAAAAGGCUAUAGCAAAAGGAAUACAAGAUAUAUGACAAACUCAAAGAAUAUUGAAUGAAAAGACAAUCAAGAAAAUAAUUUACUCAAUUAAAAGAUAGCACACAAAAGGAACCUAGAGAAAAACACUAGAAUAGGAUGAAGAAAACCAAAAAACUACUGGAAAUUUGUAUAAAAUGUGCGUGACUUUACAGAUUUAUGGUAAACUGGAUAAUGCAAAUUAGAAGUUGAAAUUUAAACCACAGAAAUUUUAAGAUCUUAUCUCAAAUUUUGCACUGGAAUUACACCAAAACAGUGUGCCAAUUAAUUGUGAUAAAUUUUUCAAAAUCACUGCCGCAUCACCGUUUUUCCAAAGUCAUAAUUUUACAGUCUGUACUUAUUUCAUUUAUCAUUUUUUGUAUUUUGAUUUUUGCUAUACUUCUUUUUUUCACUCUUUUGUAACACUUCAAACUACUUAAAUCCAGAGUUUCAGAAUUUUUUGCCAACAAAAUAAAUUUACAUAAACCAUUUUAGUCAGCACAGAUUCAGGAAAAACAGAGGAAAUCUAUUCUGGAAUUAAAAACAGUAUUGAGAACUUCAAAAGACACAAUAGAAUUGAUGUUUAUGAACUUGUAUGGAUCUAACACACAAGUAUGAACUCAAAUCUAAAAAGAAAAAUGCACAAAAGGAUCAAAAACAGAAAUAUAAAACUGCACUCAAAUAAAAUCAAUCAACCAAAAUUAUCAAGAAAAGCACUACAUAGAAUUGAUGACAUUUUGGGAGAAACAUGACUUGACAAAACUUAUGUGGAUUAAAAAAUCAAAAUGACUCAAACACAAUUAAUUUUUACCAAUUAAAAACAGCAAGAAAGACUCAAAUAUAGUAAAAACAGAACAGCACACACCAAAAAGGAACAUAAAAAAAAUUCUACACAAAAUAAGGUGCCGGAAAAACAAAUUGCUUGAAUUAAAAGUGUCAAAUCAACUAAAAAACAAGAACAAACCCAUGGCUCAUGAUACCACAUGAUGUGAGUUGAUUAAGAGAUGAAGCAUUAAUAGACACUUUCAAGAAUUGGAUCAAGAUUCUACAAGCAAUUUAAGAAACCCAUUUCAAGAACACAAAUCAAGAAACCCUUGGGAAACCCAUUUCAAGAACAUGAACCGAAUAGAACAUCAACAAGUAAUUCCAACCGAUUAAAACAAGAACCAAUGACAAACUAUUGAUUAGAAACAUUCAAUAGCAAUAUUUGACUGAUUGAAAAUCAAGAAAAAGAAAUAAAACAUGUUUUAGAGUUUUUAAUAUAGAAUGGGUAUGGAAGAAGAAGAUGAAGAGUUAAAGAAACUUAUGUUGUUGAAGCCAAUGUGAGUGAUCACGCCACUUGGAUGGUGGAAGGCUCCAAUAUGAGUGGGAGUUCCACCACUUGAGGAUUCCCAAGACCCACAAGAUAAGACAAAGAGAAAGAGAGCAAGUGUCACAAAGAAACCACUCAAAUUCUAGAGAGUAACCUCACUUUCAAUUUCAAUAUUCAACUUAUGUUUACAAAAGCAAGGCUCCUCUUUAUAUAGGCAUAGAGGACCGGUCAUGAAAAGGUAAAAAUACAUGAAGAGUCACUUGUAAAUGAAAAAGCAAGGCAUAUGAAAAGACAAGGUAAAUGCCACCCCUUUUCAAGUCACUUCCUUAUUCUAGAAAAGUGACUUUUCCUACUACUUCCCUUUUAAUGUUCUAUCUUGAAACUAUUCUAAAAAUAUUACAAAAGAUCUUAAUUGGCUUUGACCUCAUCUUUUGAGAAGACUAAUAAGAAGAACUUCAAAUGCUUUGGGCUUUGUCCAUUUCUCUUAUUAAUGAGGUCUUUAUUUGCUUUUUGAGACGACCCUUCAAGUGUAGCAUCCUUGGUCAUAUUUAUGUAUUUUUGGAUCACAGCAAUUCCCAUGUCUACAACCACAUAAGUUUCUCCUUUCAUCUUCUUCUCCCAUUUCCAUGUCAUAUCAAAACUCUAAAACAUGUUGUUUCUUGUUCUUGAUUUUCAAUCGGUCAAUGUUAUUAUUGAAUGUUUUAAUUCGGUAGUUUGUUAUUAAUAUUCAUUUUAAUUGUAAAAAAUGUGUUGUUCUUCCAUUUAAUCGGUUCAUUUACCUUUGUUAGUCAUUCUAUUCGGUUCAUUUUCAUGUUGAUAGGUUUCUAUCAGUGUCAAUUCAGUUUUCUUGUUUUGGCUUGUGUUCUUGAAUUGAUUGUAGAAUCUUGAUCCUAAUUUUUGAAAGUGUCAUAUUAUGGGUUUUUCUCUAAUCAACUCACAUCAUGUAGUAUCAUGAGCCAGGGGUUUGUUCUUGUUUUUAGUUGAUUUGACACUUUUAAUUCAAGUAUUUUUACAUUCUUGUUCUUUAAAUUCAAGUUUCUUUAAUUUAUUGUCAUUACAUUCUUGUUUUUAAUUUUCCAGCACCUUUAAUUCUUGUGCAGAAUUUUUGUUUCCUUGUUAUAUUCAUUGCAUUUUUCGUUUUGAAUAUGUUUCUUGUUGUGCCUUUUCAUUAAUCUUGCUUUUACUUUAUGGCAUAUGUUUUUUAGUGUUCUGGGUGUUCUUAUUUUGAUUCUUCUUACUUACUUUUAAUUGUGACUCUUCCAAUUUUAUUAGAACUGUGUUUUAGUAAAAGUUGAUGUUAAGUUCCAAACAUAUGAUUGCAAGUGUUUAUUUGUAUUGAAUCCACCAAAAUUUUUGUUGUGAAAUUGAAUGUUCUUGAAACUUUGUUUGAUGCAAUUAGGAUAAAGAAAAAAAAAACAGCAUGGGUUUUGUAUUAUAAUACCCAAAACAGUACCUAAUUAACAUCAAAACAGUGAGUAUUUGUUUCCAAAACAGUGAGCAAUUGUUUCUAAAGGCAUCUUUGAUGGCUUUGAGUUCUUCAUCUUGCGGUUUUUGUGGUGGAAUUGGCGGAAGCAUCCAUGAAUUGUGGUGGACAAGGCUCUCCUAGGAGUUGUGGUAGCCUUGGAGGUGCAUGAGAAGUGUGAAAGUGAGAGAGGUGAGGCCUACUCUCUUUGAGGUUGCGGUUUUGGAAGAUUAAAAGACCUAAAUCCUAAGAGAGUUUAGGCAAGGAGUAAGAAUGACACAUUUUGGCAGCAUUUCAUUACUCAAAUUAAUCUUACAAUUUCAACACCCAAGCUCUCCUUAUAUAGGACUAGGAGGCCGGAAAUGAAGUGCCAAAUGAAAGGCAAAUGUGCACAAAAUGAAAUGAAGUUGGCGCCUAAAUGAGAGCACACAUGACAAGCGUGACAUGGUGUGUCUCUUAGGUUGCCUAAAGGCCUAAAGUGACCGACCUAAGUUAGCUUAGUAGGUUCUAGAAACCCUAAUCUAACUUAUGUUGGUUUUUAGGAGCCAAUUUUAAACAAUUUAAACAAUUUUACAAAAGAAAAUUCCUAUACUACUUUGACAAGAAUUUAAAGGCUAUGCUACGCUUGAUUUUGGACCUCUUGGAACAUGUAGAGGUAAGUUUCUCUGCCAUCAGUGGCAGUGUCCCAAUCUUUAUCAAGUCUCUUAGCCAUUGCCCUUGUAGUGGGCCCAAUAUGUCUUUGUGUUUGGCUAUCCUUUGAAGUGGUGUUUGGCCCUCUUCCAUCAAUCUUGCUUGUUAAUUGGUUUAGAAAUUCAUUUUUCACACUUUUGGAUACAAAUUGUUUUCUACUUUGUGGAAUUUUGUAUCCUUUUGCUUGAACAAUUUUCUAGUUCAAAAGUGUCAUAGUUAAAGGUUUAGUAAGGUUCUUUGAGUCUUCUUUUGUGCUUUUCUUGAUUGUCUUCUAUUUCUAAGUUUUGUCACAUUUCUUUUGUCACUUUGGUUUAGCCUUUCUUGUUUUACACUUUUGUUGUUUGUCUUUUCUUCUUUCUUAAAGUUUUGUGGUGAUUAUUUGGCUUUGAGCAAGUGUGGUUUGCUUUGGCAUCUUUCACUUGAGAUUUACCCAAUCCACAAGGAGACUUUGAUUAAGGAAAGUAAAAUUUUCUUGGAGUUGUUUAGUCUUUUCUUCUUUGGCCGUGAGCAAUUUUACCAUAUAACUUGUUUUCUUAUAAUUGUUUGUUCUUUGUGUUUUGUGUUUGCUUGAUAAUAUGGAUCAUCUUUCUAGUGGUGAAUCUUCUAAACAACAUUCUCCUCAAAAAGCUUUCCUAAUUGGAGAAUUGAAGGAAGCUAAAAAGACAAUUGCACAAAAGGAGGAAGAAAUGAGACAAUUAGAGGAAAGACUCCAAAGAUUGGAAAUGUGCCAUGAAAGGUCUCCAAGACAAAGAAGACACCAUCAUAGAUAUGAAUCAAGAAGUUCUCAAAAUUAUGGUGGCUAUGAUGAAGAAACCGAAAGGAGGAGGCACCAACAUUAUGAAGAUAGGCGCCAAAAUGUGGCAAAGCCUUAUUUUCCACCAUUUGUAAAAUUACCUAGUUUUAGUGGAGAUGGUGAUCCUAAUGUGUAUUUAGGUUGGGAGGCUAAAGUAGAACAAAUUUUUAAUGUACAUGAGGUCCAAAAUGACCAAAAAGAUAGAUUAGCCUCCUUAGAAUUUAUGGACUAUGCCAUGCAAUGGUGGCACAAAACUCUCAUGGACAUUGGUUUAAACAAGAGACUGUUGAACCAAGUGUGUUCAAGCUUUGAAGAAUCCAAACCCUUUGAAGGAUGAUGAAAGGCAGGAUGUGCUUGUUGUUGCUGAGCUGUUGUUAGAUAGGAUCUGGGGUAGAUUAAUUGUAUAUAUCCACUAUUGAUUGAAUCCAAAGCAUAAGCAUUCUCAAACCUUUUAAUUGAAAAGUGUUUUUCAAACUAAGUGAAAAACAACCUGUUGUUUUGUCGAAACAACCUGUUGUUUUGUCGAAACAACCGAUUGUUUUAUACUUAGGUGUUUUUAGAAAGGUUGAAAACUGUUUUUGAUGGUUGACUUGCUAUUAAACCAAAACAACCGAUUGAUUCGUGGAAACAACCGAUUGUUUGUUUUGGGACCAUAACAAAAAACUGUUUUGUGCUUUCACUGAGCAUUAAAUGUUUUUACAACUGUUUACGCUCCAGUUUUUAAUGCUUUGACCAAUCUUUAAAUGCAAUUAAUAGUUUGUUAAGAUUAUGCAACAAACAACUUUGUUUUAAUACAGAAAAAUAGAUUUGAGUUUUUCAACACUUUUGAGUUUUUNNNNNNNNNNNNNNNNNNNNNNNNNNNNNNNNNNNNNNNNNNNNNNNNNNNNNNNNNNNNNNNNNNNNNNNNNNNNNNNNNNNNNNNNNNNNNNNNNNNNCAUUGAUCAAAGAGUGUGAGAUAGGAUUUUCAUCUUGUAUUGAUUUCAGAUCUUUUCUGUAACAAGUGUAAUCCUUUUUACUUUGAAUGAAACUCUGUGUGUAUAGCUGAGAAGUCUUGUGUGUUCUUGAGGGGAUCAAGAUCAACAUUCUUAGUGGUGUUGUGCUGGACCAAAGGAAGUGUGUGUCUUGAGGGGAUCAAGGUCACUUCUUUGGUUGUGUUGUAAGUGAUCUAGGGUUGAUUUCUUAGUGGAUUCCCCAGUGGUUUCUGGGAAGACUGGAUGUAGCUCUGGGUUAAGAGUGAACCAGUAUAAACCUCUGUGUGGAUUCUCUCAAUCCUUUAACUCUUUAAAUUCAGUUUCUAUAUUUGUAAACUGCUAUAAACAACUGAUUGUUUCUGCGAAACAACCGAUUGUUUUUCUGGUGUUGUGCUUAUUUGCUUUGUAUUUUGGCAAACUGAAUUCUGAUUCAAGUGUUUUUCAAAGUAAUUUCAUUCUUGGCUUAAAAGUCUGCGAAAACCCUCUUUAAACCAUUCACCCCCCCCCCUAGUUUAAAGUCAUACUUUCUAACAGAGACAACCCGUGGUCUCUUGGGAGGAUUUUUAACAAUGCAUGCACGCUAGAUUUGUGCCUCCACAUUAUAGGAAAGACCUUUUGUUGAAACUCCAAAGGUUUCAUCAAGGCACACUUAGUGUGGAUGCUUAUUUUAAAGAGCUUGAAAUGAUGCUUAUUAAGAUUGACAUGCAUGAAAGUGAAGAGUCAAAGAUGGCUAGAUUUGUAAGUGGAUUAAAGAGGGAUAUCCAAGAUGUGGUAAAAUUACGUGAAUAUUCUUCUUUAGAAAAUUUGGUUCACCUUGCCAUCAAGGUAGAAUCCCAACUUUCAAAGAAAGCUUAUUUUCAAAAAUCUCACAAUGAUGGCUUUUACCUCUUCUUGGAAAAACAAAAACAAAUCUUCUUCAACUUUUCCUUCAAAUUUUAAAGAGUCCACUUACAGAGCUAGAGAGUCUAAACCUUCACCUUCGACUCCUAAAUCUCCAUCUAAGACUUCAAAUAGAAAAUGCUUUAAAUGUUUAGGCUAUGGUCACAUUGCAUCUAAUUGUCCUUCUAAGCGUAACAUGAUGGUACAUGAAGGGGUAGUUGUUAGUGAUCAUAGUUCCCAACACUCUAGGUCUCCCAAUACCUCUAGAUCCUCUAGUGAAAAUGAGAGUGAAACACCUUGUAAAGGCGAUUUAUUAGUGGUGAGACGUAUGUUAGGCCAAGUUUUGAAACCCUUUGAUGAAAGUCAAAGAGAAAAUAUUUUUCAUACUAGAUGUUUCAUCAAUGAUAAGUUGUGUUCUCUAAUAGUGGAUGAGGGUAGUUGUGCCAAUGUGGCUAGCACAAUAGUAGUAGAUAAAUUUGGCUUGUCUACUAUCUCUCAUGCCAAGCCCUAUAAGCUUCAAUGGCUAAGUGAAGAAGGGGAGAUUAUAGUGAACAAACAAGUCCUCAUAGCCUUUUCCAUUGGAAAAUAUAAGGACGAGGUAUUAUGUGAUGUUGUACCUAUGGAAGCCACACAUGUGCUUUUAGGUAGGCCAUGGCAAUUUGAUAUAAAAACAAUUCAUGAUGGCCUUACCAAAAAAAUUACUUUCAACUUCCAUGGACAUAAGGUCACAUUAAAAUCUCAUUCACCAAAGGAAGUCCAUGAGGACCAAAUUAAGAUGAAAGAAAAGAUAGAGAUCGAAAAAGCAAAAACAAAGAGAAACCUUCUCAUUUCCCACCAAGAGGUCAAAAAGGUAAUGUUUUCCUAAAAGAAUAUGUUUAUAGCAAUUCUUAGGACUCUUGCGAAUGAGAGAGUUAGAUAGUCCUCAUAGUUUGGAAAAUUUGGUAAAGGAAUUUAAUGAUGUUUUUCAAGACCCCCCCAAAGGGAUUACCUCCUCUAAGGGGCAUUGAGCACCAAAUUGAUUUUAUACUUGGUGCUUCUUUACCAAAUAGGCCUGCCUAUAGUACCAAGCCAACUAAGACAAAAGAAAUUCAACAACAAGUUGAGGGUUUAAUAGCUAAGGGGUGGGUACAAGAUAGCAUGAGCCCAUGUGCUAUGCCUGUAAUCCUUGUCCCUAAAAAGGAUGGGACAUGGAGGAUGUGUACGGAUUGUCACGCUAUAAAUAACAUAACCAUCAAGUAUAGGCAUUACAUCCCAAGAUUAGAUGACUUGUUGGAUGAAUUGCAUGGGUAUAAAAUAUUUUCCAAAAUUGAUCUUAAGAGUGGUUACAAUCAAAUUCGUAUUAAACCAGAGGAUGAAUGGAAAACCGCUUUUAAGACCAAAUUUGGUUUAUAUGAGUGGUUGGUCAUGCCUUUUGGCUUGACUAAUGCUCCUAGUACUUUCAUGCGACUCAUGCACCAUGUUCUUAGACCUUUCAUUGGCAAGUUUGUAGUAGUUUAUUUUGAUGACAUACUUAUUUAUAGUUUGUCUUUAGAAGAUCAUGAGUCACAUGUUAGGCAAGUUUUAGAAACUCUUAGGAAGGAAAGUUUGUAUGCUAAUCAUGCUAAGUGUAUGUUUGCACUAGAUCAUAUAGACUUCCUAGGGUUUGUGGUAAGUUCAAAAGGGGUGCAUGUAGACAAAGAGAAGGUUGUAGCAAUUCAACAUUGGCCAACACCCACCAAUGUUAAUGAGGUACGAAGUUUUCAUGGCCUUGCUAGUUUUUAUAGGAGGUUUGUGCAAAACUUUAGUACCAUUGUCGCACCUCUAAAUGCUAUAAUAAAGAAGGAUGUAGUAUUCAAGUGGGGACAAUACCAAAUUAAAAAAUUUGAAACUUUAAAGGAAAAAUUGACUCAUGCCCCCAUUUUAGCUCUUCCUAACUUUACUAAAACAUUUGAAAUAGAAUGUGAUGCUUCCAACGUAGGCAUUAGGGUUGUUCUCCUUCAAGAGAGCCACCCCAUAGCUUAUUUUAGUGAAAAACUCAGGGGGAGUCAUCUUAACUACUCAACCUAUGAUAAGGAACUUUAUGCUCUUGUAAGAGCCUUGCAAAAUUGGAAACAUUAUCUUUUUCCAAAAGAAUUUGUGAUACACGGUGAUCAUGAAUCUCUUUAAAUAUCUGAAAAGACAAAGCAAGCUUAACAAGAGACAUGCCAAGUGGGUGUUGUUUCUUGAGAAAUUUCCUUAUGUGAUCAAACAUAAGCAAGGAAAAUUAAUGUGGUUGUCGAUGCACUCUCUAGACGCUAUGCCUUGUUAAAUGUUUUGGAUGUUCAAUACUUAGGUUUGGAUCACAUAAAGGAACUUUAUAUAGAUGACCUUGAUUUUUCUCUUAUCUAUCAAGAGUGUUUCAAAGGAGCACACAAAUAAUUUUUCAUACAUAAUGGUUUUCUUUUCAAAGGAAAAAAACUUUGUGUUCCCCAAGAAUCUUUAAGACAAUCUCUUGUUAGGGAAGCACAUGCGGGUGGGCUCAUGGGACACUUUGGGGUAGCUAAAGUUUUAGAUACAUUGGAACUAAACUCUUGUUUUCUACUACUUGCCACCCCCAAACUGAUGGUCAAACUGAGGUGGUUAAUAGAACUUUGGGUCAAAUGUUAAGAUGCCUUAUUUCCGGGAAUCCAAGGGUAUGGGCAAAUUUACUACCUCAUAUUGAAUUUGCCUAUAAUAGAGUAGUAAAUUCGACCACUUCCCACACUCCUUUUGAGGUUGUUUAUGGGUUUAAUCCCCUCACACCUCUUGAUCUUCUUCCAAUUCCUGUGCUUGAUGAGGUGUUAUGCAAGGACGAUUUUGAAAAGGUUGCUUUUAUUAACGACUUGCACCAUCACAUCAAUUUGCAAAAUGAAAGAAAGGUCGGCAAGUAUGCUGAACUUGCCAACAAAAGGAGAAAGGCAUUAAUCUUUGAACCCGGGGAUUGGGUUUGGCUACACUUGAGGAAGGAUAGAUUUCCUACUUAAAGGAUCAAAGCUUAUGCCACGUGGUGAUGGCCCUUUUCAAGUCAUCAAAAAGAUUAAUGAUAAUGCCUAUGAGUUAGAUAUGCCUGAUACCUUGGUAGUCAUUCAUUUAAUAUCAAUGAUCUAACUCCUUUUUCUACAGGUCUUCAAAAUUCGUGGACGAAUUCUCUCUCACCCGAGGAGCAUGAUGUAGACCAAGGAGAAAAGACACUUGAAGGCCAAGAUCAACAAACUCAAGCCCAAUUUAAGGCCCAAACCCAUCCUAUGAGUACUUCAUCUAUUAUGCCUUAAAGAAUUACAAGAAGCAGGAACAAGCUUUAGGUGAUGGACAUAAAUUAAUGUCUCCUUUUGUAAUAUCCUUACAAUAGUUUCAAGAUAGAACAUUAAAAGGGAAGUAGUAGGAAAAGUCACUUUUUCUAGAAUAGGAAGUGACUUGAAAGGGGCGGCGUUUGCAAUGCCUUUUCAUGUACCUUGCCUCUUCAUUUGGAAUGCCUCUUCAUGUAUCUUACCCAUUCAUGACCGGUCCUCUAUUCCUAUAUAAAGAGGAGCUUGGAUUUUUGUAAAGAGACAUUGAUGUUGAAAUUGAAAGAGUUACUCUCCUCAAAAUUGAGUGGGUUCUUUGUGAGACUUCUUCUCCUUCUUCUAGUCUUAUCAUGUGGGUUUUGGGAGCUCUCAAGUAGCGGCAUUCAUCACUCAUCUUGAAACCAUUCAUCCUUCAAGUGGCGUGACCAUUCCCAUGUCUACAACCACAUAAUUUUCUCCUUUCAUUUUCUUCUUCCAUUUCCAUGUCAUAUCAAAACUCUAAAACAUGUGUUGUUUCUUGUUCUUGAUUUUCAAUCGGUCAAUGUUGCUAUUGAAUGUUUUAAUUCGGUAGUUUGUUGUUAAUCUUCAUUUUAAAUAGUGGAAAUUUGUUGUUCUUCCAUUUAAUCGGUUCAUUUACCUUUGUUAGUCAUUCUAUUCGGUUCAUUUUCAUGGUGAUAGGUUUCUAUUAGUUUCAAUUCGGUUUUCUUGUUUUGGCUUGUGUUCUUGAAUUGAUUGUAGAAUCUUGAUCCUAAUUCUUGAAAGUGUCAUAUAAUGGGUUUUUCCCUAAUCAACUCACAUCACAUGGCCUCUCAAAUGAUGCACCAUAUUCAUGAUUAUGAGCGAAACCCCAAGAGCAACAAAGAAGAGAAACUAAGAGACAAACACAUAAAAUGGAAUGAGAAAACUUAUGAUGGUGGGUGAGAAAUAUCACGCCACUUGGAGUGUGAUGUGCUCCAAGAUGAGUGUGUUGGCCACCACUUGAGAGCUUCCCAAAUCACACAAGAUAAGAACUCAAACCUAAGAGGACCUAAGCCUCACUAAGAGCUCACACAAUUUGUGCAGAGUUUCUUUACUUCAUUCAAAUUCAACAUGUCAAUACAAUGAGGUAGGCCUCCUAUUUAUAGGUGAAGGAGCCUUGGAAAACAAGAAGAUGGAUAGGAUGGGGAAAGAGGAAAUAUGGUGCGGCUAGGUAUUGACCUUGGUCAAUGCCGCACCAUCAUCCUACAUUCUACAAGGUAGGUUAAACUUCCUACCCUAAAGGACUGUCUCCUAGGUCCUCAUCAUCCUCCCCUGCCACAGACAACCAAAGUAGAAAUGACGAGUAAGAUAAUUCAAGAAUUAAUGGAGGAGAUGAGAAAGAAGACAGAACGGGUACGGCUAGAGUUGCGACAGAAGUUUUUAUCGCAACAAGUUUGUGCUAAGCCACAUGAGGUGCAUGUUCGUCCCGCGCCCAAGAGCACAAAUGGGAGGAUAUCAUUGGCCAGAUGAGCCAAUGUGAGCUAUUGGUAGAGGGCGACAUGUUUCCUCAGGUGGUGGCCAUUGGAAAAAUCUAACAAGAGGCCACCACCUUACAUAAUGGUCCUCUCUCCCCAGAUGUGGCGAAGGUAACCGUGCAAAGAGUACGAGUAGCUGAUGCUCGUGUUCCACUACCUUCAGAUGAGGUAACAACUGUGGCUGAUGCAUUUCAGACAUUUGUAGCCUGGCCCAAACAUCUCAUUCCAAUUAUACCAGAAUCUCCAAUAAUAAUAUCAUUUCAUUAUAAUAAUUUAUAUAUUACAUCUAAUUUAAUACAAAUGUUAACCUCAUCAGAAACCAAGUUCGAAAAACAAGGAUGAGGUUCUGAUUGACGAUCUUCUUAUUAGAAAGUAUGGCUUUAAACUAGAGGGGGGUGAAUGGUUUAAAAAGGGUUUUCGCAAACUUUUAAGCCAAGAAUGAAAUUACUUCGAGAAUAACUUGAUUAAGAAAUCAGUUUUCCAAAACACAAAGCAAAAAGCACAGCACCAGAAAAACAAUUGGUUGUUUCGCAUAAACAAUCGGUUGUUUAUACCAGUUUACAAAUAUAAAAACUGAAUUUAAAGAGAUUAAGAAUAUAGAGAAUGCACACAGAGAUUUAUACUGGUUCACUUUUAACCUAUAGCUACAUCCAGUCUUCCUAGAAACCACUGGGAAUCCACUAAGCAAUCAACCCUAGAUUACUUACCACACAACCAAAGAAGUGACCUUGAUCCCCUCAAGACACACACUUCCUUUGGUCUAGCACAACACCACUAAGAAUGUUGAUCUUGAUCCCCUCAAGAACACACAACACUUCUCAGCUAUACACACAGAGUUUCUUUCAAAGUACAAAGGAUUACACUUGUUACAAAAAAGAUCUGAAAUCAAUACAAGAUGAAGGUCCUAUCUCACAAUCUUUGAUCAAUGCAAUCUCUAAGCAAUUCUCAACUUUUCAAAAGCUCAAAACUAUGAAAAACUCAAAUCUGUUUUUCUAUGUUUUUAAAACAAAGUUGUUUGUUGCAUAAUCUUAACAAACUAUUAAUUGCAUUUAAAGAUUGGUCAAAGCAUUUAAAACCAGAGCGUAAACAGUUGAAAAUCAUUUAAUGCUCAGUCAAAGCACAAAACAGUUUUAUGUUAUGGUCCCAAAACAAACAAUCGGUUGUUUCCACGAAUCAAUCGGUUGUUUUGGUUUGACAGCAAGUCAACCAUCAAAAACAGUUUUCAACCUUUCUAAAAACACCUAAGUAUAAAACAAUCGGUUGUUUCGACAAAACAACAGGUUGUUUUUCACUUAGUUUGAAAAACACUUUUCAAUUAAAAGGUUUGAGAAUGUUUAUGCUUUGGAUUCAAUCAAGAGUGGAUAUAUACAAUUAAUCUACCCCAGAUCCUAUCUAACAACAGCUCAGCAACAACAAGCACAUCCUGCAUUUCAUCAACCUUCAAAGGGUUUGGAUUCUUCAAAGCUUGAACACACUUGAUUCAACACUUAUAGCUUCCUUAGUUGUAGCUGUUAGAGAGAUUGGUCAUAACCCUAUGAACAUUCCAUGGGAUGAGACAUUUUUUGAAAUAAACACUAACAUUCCAUUAUACAUAUACAUGUUAGAUUUGUUAGAAUUUGUAGUUGGGAACCAAUAGCUCAAUAUAAAUAUAAUUCAAUUUUUUAUAAUGUAAGUAUCUUUACCUAUAUUUCAAUUUACUUUAUGUUAAAUUAUUAUUGAUUAUGCUCUAACUAAUAACUUGUAGGUAUUUGCAUGGAGUUUCUAUCAAUGUCGGGAAUGAUGAUGUCUAUGGAUUCGUAUAUCCCUUAUAUACUAAUAUCACUGGAACAAAGAAAUGGGAAAUCCAAUCAUACAUCACUAAUACCCUAGAAAAAGAGGGAAAACAAAUUUAUUUAUGCCCUUAUAUUAAUGAGUAAGUUUAAUUAUAAGUCGUCAAUUAUUCUUAUUUUAUUUUUUAAAUAUUUACUAACUCUUUUCAUGGAUGAUAUAGGGGUCAUUGUCAGUUACUUGUCUUAUCCAUGGUUGAUAAGACUACUGUGUGGUUUUGUUCCGUAUACAAGAGGUCAUCCACACAUUUGAAGAUUAUGAUUGAUAAGUAACUACACUAUAAACUUCAUCCGUAUGUUACUAAAUAAGCAUCUACUAAUGUGGUUUUCUGUAUUAAUCAAUUCAUGGCGUUUUUAUAACAUCCUAAAAGGUCGAUCCAAUUCAAAUUAUCAAAAUCUGAAGUGGGUGACACUAAAGGUUUGUAUUUUUUGUCUUUCUCUUUUCAUUGUUUAUCAAUAUUAACUUUUACUUUCUAUUGAAUUAUAGUGUAAUAGACAACCAGGAAGUUAUGAGUGUGGCUAUUAUGUUAUGCAUUGAUGGUUACCUGUACUGGUCGGACGUGCUCGGGUCCUCGGCCCAAACACUUAAGUGUAGUAAGCUCGGUUAGAGAGAUUAUGUGAGAAAUACCCAGCUCGACCUGGGGUAGGUAUGGGCCGAAUAACACAUUAUGAGGUCGGCCCAUAUGUUUGGUAGUUUAUACAGAAAAGAUAACUAAAGUAAAAUGGCAGAAGGAAUAAUUGAAUUAGUUAAAGUGUAUAUAUGUUUUUUAAAUGCAAAUAAAAGUUGUAAGGAAUGAUGUGGCAGUGUACCCGAAAAUAAAAGGUACACGUUAACAUAAUGUACUUACUAUUGAAAUGAUAUUGUUAUUAUAUUCUUAUUGUUAAAGUAAUACUCUGGUUGAUGAAAAUCAUUGAAGGAAUGUUUAUAAAAGGGGUUUAAGACCCCGAGUAAAGGUAUGUUUUUUGCUGAACCCUACACUGAUACAAAUUGAUAGUUUGAAUGCUCUCACUGACUUGAUCAUUGAAGUGUGAUCAACAGGUAGAGCCCCCUUUGUCCCAAAGAAUCAGUAGCUCAGAGCAGCACAUGGAGACAAGUUAAAGCAGAGCUCACCUUAGAGACCGACCGAAGUCAGUCGGCGAGAACAUUUGGCGCCCACCGUAGGGCCCGAAAAAAACCUUAUCCCACCCACAUUUGCGACUGAGCAUUCCACAUAAUGAGAAACACGAGGCAAGGACCAUUGGGAUCUGAAGGAAGUGAGGCCCCCGCCUUGCAAAAACUUAUGGAGACAAUGAGGGUUAUGCAGGAGGCAAACGAAGAAUAUCGACUUUAGAAAGAGCGAAUUCGAGAAGAAACCAAGGUCGAGCAUGAACGGCUACAAGCAGAAGGUUGAGACGAACAGGAACACCUUUCAGAGGAAACGUGGUUGAGCCAGGCCCGCCUUAUGGUAGAGAUUGAGGCCUCUCGAAUAACUAUGGAGGAGCACGCACAAGCCAAUGUGGAGUUGCGCAAGACUAAUGAGGAGUUGCGGAAGAGUUUGCACCGACAGGAGUUGGUAAAAUUAAUGUGGUUGUCGAUGCUCUUUCAAGAAGAUAUACCUUGUUAAAUGUUUUGAAUGUCAAUAUUUAGGGUUUGAUCACAUAAAGGAACUUUAUCAUGAUGACUUAGAUUUCUCUCUAAUCUAUCAAGAGUGUUCCAAGGGCGGUCACAAAGACUUUUUCUUACAUAAUGGUUUUCUUUUCAAAGGCAAACGACUUUGUGUUCCCCAAGGAUCCAUAAGACAAUCUCUUGUUAGAGAGGCUCAUGAGGGUGGGCUUAUGGGACAUUUUGGGGUAGCUAAGACCUUAGAAACAUUGCAUGAACAUUUCUUUUGGCCUCACAUGCGCAAAUCCGUACAUACCUUCUGUGAUAGAUGUAUAGCAUGUAGGAAGGCUAAAUCUAAGGUCCAACCCCAUGGUUUAUAUANNNNNNNNNNNNNNNNNNNNNNNNNNNNNNNNNNNNNNNNNNNNNNNNNNNNNNNNNNNNNNNNNNNNNNNNNNNNNNNNNNNNNNNNNNNNNNNNNNNNNNNNNNNNNNNNNNNNNNNNNNNNNNNNNNNNNNNNNNNNNNNNNNNNNNNNNNNNNNNNNNNNNNNNNNNNNNNNNNNNNNNNNNNNNNNNNNNNNNNNNNNNNNNNNNNNNNNNNNNNNNNNNNNNNNNNNNNNNNNNNNNNNNNNNNNNNNNNNNNNNNNNNNNNNNNNNNNNNNNNNNNNNNNNNNNNNNNNNNNNNNNNNNNNNNNNNCCCCCAAACUGAUGGUCAAACCGAAGUGGUUAAUAGAACUUUGGGUCAAUUAUUGAGAUGCUUUAUUUCCGGGAAUCCAAGGGCUUGGGAGGAUUUACUACCUCAUGUUGAAUUUGCUUAUAAUAGGGUAGUAAAUUCCACCACUAACCAUUCUCCUUUUGAGGUUGUUUAUGGGUUUAAUCCCCUCACACCUCUAGAUCUUCUUCCCAUUCCUGUACUUGAUGAGGUUCUAUGCAAAGACGGUUUUGAAAAAGCUUCUUUUGUUAAGGAUUUGCAUAGCCGCAUCAAGUUACAAAUUGAGAAGAAAGUUGGUCAGUAUGCUGACACUGCCAACCAAAGGAGAAAGGCAUUAAUCUUUGAGCCCAGUGAUUGGGUUUGGCUUCAUUUGAGAAAGGAUAGAUUUCCUUCUCUAAGGAAGUCCAAACUUAUGCCUCGUGGUGAUGGGCCUUUCCAAGUCAUCAAGAGGAUUAAUGAUAAUGCCUAUGAGUUAGAUAUGCCCACUACUUAUCUUGGUANNNNNNNNNNNNNNNNNNNNNNNNNNNNNNNNNNNNNNNNNNNNNNNNNNNNNNNNNNNNNNNNNNNNNNNNNNNNNNNNNNNNNNNNNNNNNNNNNNNNAUCCCACUCCUUUUGCUGCAGGUUUCCCAAAUUCGUGGACGAAUUCUCUCCAACCCGGGGAGUAUGAUGGAAACCAAGUAGAUGAUGCUCAAGCCCAUGAAGCCCAAGCCCAACAAGGGGCCCAAGCCCAACGAAUCACUAGGAGCAUGGCAAGAGCUUUGGGACAAGAGUAUAAUAAGAUGGCUCUUCUUAUUUCUUUUAUAGAAUAGGGGUGCGGAUGUAAUAAAUAGGUGUAAGUAGUAAGGGAGGCUAGGGGGGACUAUAGAUAGGAGUUAGGAGGUGCCAAACUAGGAAGGAAAGUCACACUUCCUUCAUGCACUAGUUGGCGCCGAAUUUAACUCUCAUUUGAGGCACAUUUGGCUUUGCAUUUCAGCACCCUAUAGGCUAUAAAUAAAGGUGUUGCCCUUGUACAAUUCAGAUUUGGAUUUUGAAGUAGAGAGACUAUACUCAAAUUUAGAGAGAAAUUGUGAGUUUUGAGUCUUCUUCUUCCUUUGCCUUAUCUUGUGAGCAAUGAUGAGCUUCAAGUGGCGGCACUCCUUCACUUAUCUUGGAGCAAGGUUCCAAGUGGCGUGAUUUCUUCUCCAAGUCUCAAAAUCCAGCAAGUUAAACUCCAUAAGUGAUUCUUCUUCCUCUUCUCUCCAUUCCAUUCGGUAGUUUAGCAUUUCUUGGUGUUUCCUUUCAUUUGCACCGUUUGAAAUUGUGUUUCCAGCUUUGUUUCUUUUGUUCGGUCCAAUUCAGUAGCUUAGCUUUACAUUUCUGUUCGGUUCACCUUUCUUGUUCUUCUUCAUUGUUGUUUGAUUCCAUUUGACAAUAUAUGGACUUCCAUAUGAGCUUUGGUUUGGUGCAAAGUCUUGGUGAGUUCUUGAAUUAGAACAUUGAUCCAAUUCUAAGUAAAGUGCCAUUUCAUGACCAACUCAAGUUGCUCCUAAGAAUGUCAAAGAAUCAUGUAUUCUUGUUAUUGCAUUCACAUCAGCAAGGGAGUUCAGCCGAUCUACGAAGCUUUCCCUUUGUUUCACAAAGGCUAACUUGGAGAAUGUGUUUCCCCAUGAAGACGAUCCAGUGGUGAUAUCUGUUAUCACUGUAGGACGUAAGGUGCACAAGUACUAAUUGAUCAAGGGAGCUCAGCAGAUGUAAUGUUAUGGGGAACUUUUACCAAUUUGCAGAUAUCCCCUGACCAAUUAAGGCCAUAUGAUGGCUAUCUAGUUGGUUUUGCAGAGUGGAGGUGCAAGGAUAUGUCGAAUUGAGGACGACCUUUGCUGAUGAAAGUGCGGCCAGGAUGAUUACCAUCAAGUACAUCGUUGUCAACGCAUCUUCUCCAUACGACCUGCUCCUAGGCCGACCUUCCUUGAAUAAACUAGGUGCGGUGGCUUCAACCACCCACACGAAGAUGAAGUUGCCUUCAGCUGAACAAAAGGUGAUCACUAUAAAAUCCCACCAAAAGAUGGCCCGAAAAUGUUACGAAACUAGCUUAAAAAAUCGUAGGGGAACCUACGCAGUUACUAUCCAACUCGAGGAGCCGGGAUGGGUAGUAGAGGCCGACAUCAGCGAUGAAAGAGGACUUGGGGCUGCAAAAGAAGUUCAAGAGAGGGAGAUACAGGAAAAUAAAUUCAAGUUCGACGCCUCGUUUUGAAAAGAGUUAGAGGAUAAAAUAGCUUAUGUCAUCUCGAGAAUAUGAACGCUUUCGCAUGGUCGUCCGCGAACAUGCCUGUAAUAGAUCCAGAUUGCUUGUGCCGCUAGCUAACAAUGGAUGAAAAGGUUAAGCCCAUGAUUCAAAGACAGAAGAAAUUCAAUGAAGAAAAGCAUUUCUUCAUUCGGGAAGAAAUUCGAAAACUGGUAGUUGCUGGCCACGUAAGGGAAAUUCAAUACCCCAAGUGGUUGGCAAAUGUUGUCUUGGUAAAAAAGGUGAACGAAAAGUGGAGAAUGUGUGUUGACUUCACCGAUCUGAACAAGGCUUGUCCCAAGGACUCUUAUCCUUUACCAAACAUAGAUUCCCUGGUCAACAACACCUCAGGAUGUCGCAUAUUGAGUUUUCUAUAUGCUUUUUCCGAUUAUAAUUAGAUUCACAUGCUUCCGAAGGACAAAAGUAAGACAACUUUUAUGACCGAGGUCACUAGUUAUUGCUACAUGGUCAUUCCUUUUUCCCUAAAGAACGCUAGGGUGACCUACCAACAGCUCAUGGACCGGAUCCUUUCACCAAUGCUCAAGUGUAACGUCCAAGCAUAUGUGGAUGACAUGGUUGUCACCUCGAAGAAGGAAGAUCAACAUGUUGCCGACCUGGAGCAGCUAUUCGCCAUAAUAGUGAGGUAUAAUUUGAAGUUAAAUCCUAAAAUGUUUAUUUGGAGUUGAAGCAGGAAAGUUUCUCGGUUUCCUGUUAACCGAGAGAGGCAUAGAGGAGAACCCGGAUUGUGCAACAACCAUAGAGAUGAGGAGUCCCACUAACGUGAAAGAGGUGCAACACUUGAUCGGGCGCAUUACCGUCUUGUCCCGUUUCUUAUCAGCUAGUGGAGAUAAGGGAUAUCCUUAUUUCCAAUGCCUGAAGAAGAAUAAUCAUUUUGUAUGGACUAGUGAAUGCGAAGAAGCUUUCACCAAGUUUGAUAUGAUUCCAAUAACAUGAUGGAGAUAUGAUAUGAACAUGUUAUGGAUUCAAUAAGAGUUGGAAUAUGAUUAGGCACUUUCUAAGAAUUGGAUCAAUGUUCUUAUCAUUCAAGAACUCACCAAAACACAAGUAUCCAAGCCAAACUCUCUUAGAAACCCAUUUUUGGACAUAUGAACCGAUUAAAACAAGAAACAACACAAAUGCACUGAUUAAAACUCAAGGAAACACAAUUAAAACAACAAGAACAACAAACCAAAUGAAACUACCGAAUAUAAACACAAGACAAACAAAUUCUACCGAUUGAAAUAUCAAGAAACAACAAAGACAUGUUUUAGAGUUUGUUUUGGAAUGGAAAUGGAAGAAUGAGAUGAAAAGAACAAGGAAACUUAUGUGGUUGGACCUCUUGGAAAUGUGCACGCCACUUGAAGGAUGAUUGGCUUCAAGAUGAGUGUUGUUGCCGCCACUUGAGAGACCAAGAAUUCACUCAAGAUAAGACUAGAAGAGAAGAAGACACAAGUCUCUCUCAAUUCACUCACCAAUUUGGGAGAGGUUCAAUACUCACAAAAUCAAUCUUAUUAUUUCAAAGACCUAAGCCUUCCUUUUAUAGAGAGGAGGACCUGGUCACAAGUACAAAGGAAGCUUACAAGAGAAGCUUUGAAAGGUAGCCUUCUAACUCUUCCUAUUCUAGCGCCUAAAAGAGAGUGAAGAGGCACCUUCUAGAUCUUUCCUAAAAACUAACGCCUAAAGGUGCUAUACAAAGGAGGUGUCUUAGGUUUCCCUCUUUAGCACCUUCCUAAACACUACUCUAUGUGUUUUUAAUUUUAUACAAAAGAAACUAUAAAAAGAGAAAACAUUUUAAGCCUACUACCUAACUCCUUAGCUUUGCUCCUUGUAAUCCUUUGAGGUAGAAAGGAUGAUGAGCCAAUGUGUCUUUGAUCAUCUUGAACUUCAACCUCAUUCUCUUCUUCUUCUUGAUCUCCAUCAAAGUUAAAGGAGUACCUAGCUAGUCCUCCCAUUCUCGGUAAACCAAUUCUAGAAUCCCUACUCGUCCCUACUUUUCGAUAACAGAUCGGGCUAUUAGCUCGACCAUUUUGCAAGAUCAGGAGAAGAUCCAUAAGCCAGUCUAUUUCGUAAGCAAGGUGCUACAACGACCAGAAGUUCGGUAUCAAGCUAUCGAGAAAGCUUCCCUAGUUGUGGUGUUCACAACUCAAUGACUUCAUUAUUUCAAAACUUCACUGUGAUCGUAAUGACCGACCUGCCUAUCCAUAAGGUUCUUCAAAAGCUCAACAUUGCAGGUCUAAUGGUUCGUUGGGCAGUUGAAUUGUCUGAAUUCGACAUAUAGUACGAACUGCGAGGGCCAAUUAAAGGCUAGGUAUACACUGACUUUGUGGUAGAGUUUUCAUCCAAGGACUCCCAGCACGACCCUAAUGAUUUGCAAUGGGUCCUUUCGAUUGAUGGGUCCUCCAACCUACAAGGGAGCGGAGCUGGAGUCAUUCUAGAAGGACCAAGUGGGCUCUUAAUUGAACAAGUCCUCAAGUUUGCAUUCAAGAAGAGCAACAACCAAGUUGAGUAUGAGGCCUUAAUAGCGGGAAUGUUGCUAGCAAAGGAAUUGGGGGCUCGACGCUUGUUGGUGAAAUUUGACUCACUACUUGUAACUGGCAAGUCACAGGUGAAUAUCAUGCCAAGGAUCCAUAACUGGCCUCGUCCCUCAUGUAUGUGAAAAUCCUGAGGAUGGCUUUCUCGCGUUUGACCUUGUUCACGUCCUCUGAGAAUAGAAUUCUCAAGCAGACCUAUUUUCCAAAUUGGCUAACUCACGAAAGGAAGGUCGGCAGAGGUCAGUAAUUCAGGAGACCAUAAAGUUUUCCCGGACCACCACAGGGGAGUUAUUAAAGGUUGGCCACUUUGAGGUUUUACAGGUCAACCUUGGACAAGGGAGAAGGCAUCGUUCAAUUGUCCAAGAAACACUGAAGGCCCCGAGAAUAACUAUUUAUGAAUUCCCUUGACAUUUUUUAGUUUAAUCGAGGAUACCUGGCUAACACCUCACAAACAAUACCUCGCCAAUGGAUUACUCCCUUCAAAGCCCAUAGAAGCCAAAAUUUUCAAGAAGAAUGCAGGAAGGUACACCCUGAUAGAUGGGAAUCUAUUUCAUUACGGUUAUACUCAUCCUCUCCUCACCUGUGUAAGUGGAGACCAAUGCAUCCAGAUAAUGUUUGAGCUUUAUGAGGUUGUUUGUGGCAGCCACAUCGAUGGGCAAGCUCUCUCGUUGAAAGUCAUUCGAGCAGGGUAUUAUUGGUUGACGAUAAAGAAAGAUUGCGGCAAGCAUGUCCAACAAUGUGAGCAGUGUCAGAGGCAGGCUGAUUGGCACCAUGCACCAGCCGAGGAUAUUCUAACAGAAUCUAGACACUACAAGAAAAUAACAAUUUAGUCACCGAAUUCAGCGACCGAAAAUAAGUGGUUGCAAUUUGCAACCGAAAUAGCCACCAAAUACCCGUAGUGUCAAAUCUGCGACCGAAAUAACGACCGAUUGAAUUAUUAGUGAUGUUAGUUAGUUUUGCGACCGAAUCAGCGACCGAACAUGAGAGUGACAAAACCAUUAGUCGCUAAAGUGGUGGUUGUUUUGAAUAAAUUGGAGAAAAUAUAUCUGCAACAGAAUUAGCGACCAAAUAUGUUUAUUUUUUAGCCACCGAUUUUAUUUUGGUCGCUAAAUAUUAUUGCUUAUUUUCUGCCGCCGAAUUAGCCACUGAAUAUGUUUAUUUUUUAGCAACCGAUUUUGUUUUGGUCGCUAAAUAUAUUUGUUUAUUUUUGUCACCGAAUUAGCCACCGAAUAUGUUUAUUUUUUAGCAACCGAUUUUGUUUUGGUUGCUAAAUAUAUUUGUUUAUUUUUGUCACCGAAUUAGCCACCGAAUAUGUUUAUUUUUUAGUCAUCGAUUUUGUUUUGGUCGCUAAAUAUAAUUGUUUAUUUUUGUCACCGAAUAAGCCACCGAAUAUGUUUAUUUUUUAGCCACCAAUUUUCUUUUGGUCGCUAAAUAUAAUUUUUUAUUUUUGCCACUGAAUCAGCCACCAAAUUUGUUUAUUUUUUAGCCACCAAUUUUAUUUUGGUCGCUAAAUAUAAUUAUUUAUUUUUGUCACUGAAUCCGCCGUCAAAUACGUUUAUUUUUUAGCCACAAAAUUUUAUUUACUCGCUGAAUGUAAUUUUUAUUUUAUAAUAUUAAUAAUAAUUAUUAUUAUUAUUUUUAUUUUAAAAAACUAUACUAGGAGCAUCAAAAUAAAUAAUUCAUGAGUAGUCAUCCAUUUAUAAAAUAAUUAGUUGUAUUACUUUUUUUUUUUCUAUUUAAAAAUUUUGUGUCAAUUAUAUUUAUAAUUUCUUAAAUUUAAAUAAAAUUAAUUAAUAUUUUUUAAAAUAUCAGCUAAAAUAAAAAUUCUAAAUAAAAUUACAUAACAAAAUAUUAUUAUUUAUAAAAUUAAUCCUUUAAAAAAAUAAAUUACACCAUAAUUAAAUUUAAAUAAAAUUAUCUCUUUAAAAUAACUUUAAUUUUAUAAAAAUAAAUAAAUUUUCAGAAUUAAAUUGUAAAUAAUUUUUUAAUUUUUAAUAUUUUAUUUAAAAAUUAUUAGCAGAGGUAAUGAGUAUCUACAAGUUAGAAACCAUGAAAUUUUUAUUAGUAUGAAAAAUAAUUAAGUGAUUAAAAUACUCUAAUUUAUUAUUAUGGGUAUUUAAAUACUUAUUUAAUAUUAUUUUUUAAUUUUAAAAAAUGUUUUGGCUCCAUAAUUUUAUUUAUUUCUAAUAAUAAAUAAUGUAAUUACAUAAAACAUUGAAAUGUUGAUUCGAAAUCAAUUUUAUUUCUAAAAGUAUUGAAAAAUUUGUAUCUCAUGAAACUCUGUGGGAUGGUGUGUAAAAUAUAAUGAAGAAAAUAGUAGCGGUGGUGGAUGGUGCGUAACUUACGCAACCACCAAAAAUUACGUUGCAUUUCUUUUCGCGGUACGAUAUGUAACCAAACGUGUCAAAACUUAGAACCUGUCACUUUCUUUCCCUUCUUUCUCACACAACACACACGAUAGUGAGUGACUCUCUCUUGCUUUCUUCCUCCUUUGAUCGAUUCCGCACACCACACGUCCACCAUCGAUGGUCUCCAAACCUACAGACUCCGCUUCCAAACCUCGAGUCAGUUUCUCUCUCUUCCUUCAAUUCAAUAAUAACUGAAUACAACUUGUUGUUUAAUGCUUCAAUUCCUUUUUUUCUCUUCCGACUCAACGGAAUCGAUGGCGUAACUGUUUUUCAGAAUUUGUUUAUGUCUAUAUAGAAUUUUGAAAUUGAGCUGGUAAUCACGAGCUGACAUCAUUUUGGAGUUCUCUGUUCCUCUAUCUCUCUGUAAGUGAAUAUCACAACACUUGAGUCGCAAGUAGGGCUUUUGGAUUGUGCUUAGUCUUCAGUGUUGAUUUCUGUUCUGUUAUAGAUUUUCCAUUGCUAAUUAAAUUGUCCUUGUGCUUCAUCACUUGAGAAUUGAAAUUUUGUUUUAUGUUUUUCUACUUUUUGUAUUUUGAAUGUGGUGACGUUUUCUUUUGUAAUGUCGAUAGAAACAACUUGGAGAGCCAGCAAAUGAUGCAUUGAGAACCUUGUCACUCAAGAUAAAUCAGUUGAAAAAGCAAAUCCAGGCGGAGAGAAUAGUAUACAUUAAAGUAAAAUUGAUACCGGAUUUAUGCUGCCUUAGUUUGAUUCUUCUAAGAAUGAGUCUAUAUUUCUAUAGUUUGUUUGCUGGAGAGAUAACUUUUUGUUUUUGUUAAUUUAGGAAGAUGGCCUUAACCUCUAUCUCGUAACAUUUGUCAUUGUAUGCAAAAUCGAUUAUCUAUAAAUUUUAUUGCAAUUCUUAUUUGACCUUUUCACGGAGAGUUAAUUUUUCUAAUUUGGUUAUAUUGGUAGCAAGUCUUUGUAUGAGCUUCCAGCAGCUUUUCUUUGCAUGUUUCUGGUACAACUUUAUGUUAUGAUUUUUAAUUUAAACGUGAAUUCAAUUAAUCGAAAAUUUCAAUGUUCCGAGGCUUUUCUUGUACUCAUUGCAAUCAACCUUAGUUGUAUUUCUACAGGAAAAAACUCAAAGCAAUGAGAAGAAAUUACAAUGUCAUACGUAAGGAAUCCUAUAGAUAUUAAUAAUACAUAUAAAUAUAGUCACCAAAAUUAAUUUGGUGACUAUUUAGCCACCAAAAUCAAAUAUGCCGUUAUAUAGGUCUUCAUUUAGUCACUGAAUUAACCACCGAAAGUUUUUUUAUUUAAUUAUUUUAAUCCAUUAGCGACCGAAAAUGGUGAUCGCUAUCACCUUCUGUUUCAGUUACCGAUUUAGCUACCGAUUUUUUUAUAAAAGUUUGGUCGCUAAUUUGGAUUCUGAAUUUUUGUGACCAAAUUUUCUGCAACCGAUUUAGCCACCAAAAUUUCAGUUGCUAAUUUGGUUUCCGAAUUUUGGUGACAAAAUUUUCUGCGACUGAUUUAGCAACCGAAAUUUCGGUUGCUAAUUUGGUUUCUGAAUUUCGGUGACCAAAUUUUCUGCGACCGAUUUAGCCACCGAAAUUUCGGUUGCAAAUUAGUGACCACUUUAUAAUUCGGUCGCUAAAGGCUUUGCGACUAGGGUUUUCGCUUUCAUCUUUAUUUUGUGGUUGUUUCGGUCACAAAUACGUUUAGCGACCGAUUAUAAUAGUUUUAGCGACCAAAUUUGGUGGUCGCUAAAAGUGAUUUUUUUUGUAGUGAGACUUGCUGGACGAGGUACAUGAUCACACCGUAUAAACUCGGAAGCCCUGAAGAGAAGGGUGGAACUAAAGCACAAGACCAAGACGAAACCUCAGUAGUUCAAGGUUGUCGACCUGGUGAUGUAGAAGGUCCACCCCUACCAGAUUGAGAACAAAUUGUCUCCAAAGUGAACUGGCCUGUUCCGCAUAGUCGAGGUACUAGGAAACGACGCAUAUAAGCUGGAAACCUUGGAGGGACGAGUCAUCCCACGAACAUGGAACGCGGCAAACCUCAAAUUUUAUUUUAGUUUUAGUUAAGACGCUUAAGUUUUCAUUCUUUUCUUAUGAACAUUAUGUUGUUUGAGGUGACACUUUUUUUUCCAUCAAAGAGGAAUUUUUAACGAGGUCACCUAGUAAUAAAUUUGUUCUUGGAUGUAUGAAAUAAGUCACUCAAAGUUUCGUUAUUUUUUCUUACUUUCGUUAAUCACACUUGCUUGGAAAUAUAUUCCCUUUUCAUCUCCCUUCUUCUUGUCAACUUGUCUUGUAAUAAAAUUGAUCUGUUCUAGGAGUACCUUGUGCACCUUGUCGUCAUGUUCAAUUCUCACAAUGGGAAGGACAUGUUAAUCUCCAUUUUCUACAUAUCUACCUUUUGCUUUUCACAUGUUAUUCUCCUUUCUUCUCCUUCGUUUGUGUUGUAAUUAUGACUUUAUCUUCUAGCUGUGAAAAACAGGCUCAAAAGAUACUUCUCUGCUAUUUUUUACAUGUAUAGUCCCGCCUAUCUCUACUUUCCCCUUUCCACUAUGAUUUAAUUCAUGUUGUACGUUUUGAUUCCUGAAAAUUUGGAAAUUUUCGUAGAGUUUGCUUUGAGUUGUUAAUGGUGUAUUAGUUUUUAUGCUAUUAUUGAGAACCAAGUGUGAGUUAGGAUAUUCCUUGGUUGGAGGCUUCUGCAGGUCUUAAAAAUUAAAGUUGUUAGAGCUCAGCCGGCAGCAUCACCUUGCUGUUUGUUUAUUUAUAUGUUGAAUUUACUAUUCAUUAAUUAUUGGUGCAUAGGUUUUGGAUCAUGCAUGGGUUGACGUGCAUCUCUUCUGACAACACUAUCGUUAGCUGCUAGGUUUUUGUUAGUUGGUAUAUUAAUAAUAUCUAUUUUUGUUGGCUUUAGGUUGAUCCUACUUUGAAUUUAGAUCUAAGAGAAUUACUAUUGAACUCUAUUCCUUCCAAACUUGACCAUCAUCUCCAAAUUCAUUUCUUGCCAACAACUGAGCUCGGUGGCAUCAUUGAAUUCAUGGAGAGCUGCAUGAACUCGCCCAAUAUAAGCAACUAUAGGGCCAUGAAAGCAUUGCGGGGCUAAAAGAGUCAUUAGAUCUUUAUAUAUGCAUAUAGUUGUGCCCACUCCAAACUAAUUUACAAAUUUCAUAUGAAAGAAAAACAGGGUAUUAUAUACUAAGUUACAUGAGAUAAAAUAGAGGCGCAUUGAGCGUAAAACCAUGUGUUAGAAUACACCACAGAAGCAUGAUUAUAUGGGCUUAUUGCAUUCAUUAGACAUGAUUAGAGGAUAUUUUAUUUCCCUUCAAUGAGAUAUUCAUAUCAAAAUAUUGUAAUUUGAUUCUCAACUGUUAUCUUUAUCAGAAACACUCACAGCCAAUGGUAGAGUCAUUUGACCAAGUACUAUGUUAAGCUUUAGCAGCUUUUAGCCAAGUAGGAUGCAUGACCUGUUUGUUAGGGUUAGGUUCCUUGAGUGAGUAAUAAAAGGAGAUGGAGACAGGGUUUUACUAUACCGUGUUUAUCUAGAAUUUGUCAUAAUGGACACUUGUAGGAGGAGAAGGACUGGAAUGAGAAAGGGAGGGAGACACACGUGGAAUAGGGUGAGAACAUGGUGAAGAACAAGACAUAAAAACUGUUAUAGAGGUAGUAGACAAUGAGGUUGGGGAUGAAAUGACCUGAGGGGACCUAAAGGGCGAAGUGUUGAAUUAUGAAAUGUAUAGAAAGAUAGCAAAUUGAAUAGCGAAAUCAAAGCUUUUUAAAGAUGACAUCAUUAGAUAUAUAGACUAUACUGUCAAAGUAUAUAGAUAUUGAAAAUGCUUUUAUACUAUUGUUAUUAUGAGAUGGAGAUGAUGCAGUGCAGUCGAUUUUUUCCUGCUACAAUUCUAAUGGUCAUAGAUAAUCUACUGCAUGAUAAUAAUUUAAGGUCACUGUAUCUAAACUUAUUUUGAGAAAACAUUUCCUGAGAUUAAUCUUAAAUUAAGCAAUUUGAAGUUUGUAAGUGUUCAAAUUGCUUUGGUACUCAUUACUUUUGAGUAUUUUAUCCUGUCGUUUGUUAUCCAGUACGUGUAAUUAUUUCCACUUCAUACUUAUCCUAUUCCCUUGUUUCUUUCUUGAAGCCACAAUCAUCUUACAAUACUAGACAUUGCAAGGAAGGCUUUUCUUUACGGUGCAUAUUUCUUUCUUGUAUUUUCUUUUACUUAAAAGGAUGAAUGAUGAAAUUUGGAUGGAUCAAAUUUCCUUAUAGCCCUAAGUUUAAUCUCCUUAGAAUAUUUUAUAAUCUUCUCACUCUUGACCCAUAUUUUGUACUUCUACAUUUUCUUAUAGCAUUUUAUGGAAGGCAAUACAAAAAUUGCUCCAGUAUCUCGCUUGCCUCUCAUCACUGUUCUAGAUACUAAGCAUCAUUUGAAGGUCAUUCCAGUUAUACAGGCAAGAUUCCUUUAACAUUUGAGUUUGAGAUUGGUUUGUUUUCCUAGUACAUGUUUAUUCAAUCAUCUGAUACCUUUUAUGCAUUACCAGCCAUUUCAUUUGGAGGUUAAUUUCUUCAAUAAAGAGAAUCGAGUUCUUCACUAUCCUGUCAGGGCUUUUUAUGUGGAUGGAUCUAAUCUUAUGGCAUAUAAUAUAUUAUCUGGAUCUGAGCGUAUCUACAAGAAGCUCUAUAAUUCGGUAAUGUAGAGACUAGAAAGUGUAGUAUGUUAAAAAAAAUAUAAUAGUAUUUUUUUUUCAAUAGAAUUUAUCAUUUGCUUAAUAUUGACCAAAUUUUAAGAGAAAUAAAAUGAUAUUUCUUAUUAUGGAUUGACCACAAUUGCAUUAGAGAGUUGUAUUGGUAAAGUUUUCUAGAAGAGAUCCUAAUCACCUUGAGUAUAAAAUAAAUAAAAGGAUAAGAUAGGGAGUAAAUUAAGGGAUCGUUAGAGAUUAUGUUCAAAACUAGGUCCAAGCAAUCAUAAGAUAAGGUGUGCCACUUGCUGUGAAGUAGAAAGAAAUGGCUUGCAAAUUUGGUUGUGUCCACCCAGCAAACCAUUCUUCCUCUAGAAGAUUGUUUUAUGUUGUAUGAUUUCUUUCAAAAUGAACAUACACUAGCCUAUUAACACUUUCCAGAUCAAGCAGUUCUUAAAUCAUCUUAUACUGCACUCCCUCAAUUUCAUGUUGAUAAUUUAAAAAUGAAUCUAAGCUCCUAUCUGGUUUACUUUGUUUCGGUAAAAGAUAAUCAUGAAAAUGUUAUUGAAAUUUCCGAGAAUCAGAAUUUGAAGCUAACAAAUCGACAAAAAUGUUUCAAAAUAAGAUGCCUACUGAGGACUAAUCACCGUGUUUCAGAUAAUGGUAAUGAUACUAGGGAACCUUGUGUUAGCUUAGUUUGCACUAUUACUCUCCUAUUUAUUUGCAAAGUAAAAUGGUAUAUUUUAUAUCUUUAAUCAUAGUAUUCUUACCCUUCUGGUACAACAGUGUUAAAAAUCCUAUUAUUGGAUAAAAUGUAUGACCAUAGAAGAUGAAUACAAUAUCUAAUUAUCUAAUAAAGUGGUACCUUCAUCUUUAUUACUUCCAUUUAUAUAACUGUUUUCUUGAGAAAUACUUUUACUAAUAAUAUUAUACUCUCUCAAUGUGAAAAAAUAUAAAUAUUUCUUUUAGGAAGGUAAAUGUAUUUGACUUGCUAAUGUUUCUUAAACAUUAAUAUUUAUAGAUCAAACAACUAUCAGACUUUGAUUUUGUAACCAGGACUUGCUGAAGAGCUGGGAGGAAGCAAAAUAUUAGUUUUGUAAUUUGAAGUUGUAUGAUUCUUUUUUAUUGUCUUUUUUCUUGGCUUCAUUAUUUGUUAUAUUUGAUGUAUCUGUAGGAAUAUAAAAGAGGAUUUUGAUACACAUGUGAAGAAAAUCCAACCAUCAUAACUAUAUGCUUUCUUAUAAAUUGUGGUUUAUAAAUUGGUGGUUUAAUUUAUUGUUUUACACAAACAUAUAUUUUCAUUAUCUAACUUUACUUUAUUAUAUACUAUUUAUUAUUUAUUGACAUGUAUAAUGUUUAAGAAUAUAUAUGUACUUUUGACAUGCAUAAUGCAAAAUAAUAAUAUUUAAGAUAUUUAGGUAAUUACGAGGUAGUGAACAUGAGAAAGUUGAGUAAGAGGGAAAUUAAGCAAAUGAUUUUUUUUACUAAAAAAAUAUUUUUCAUAUAAUUACUUAUGUACAUAUAUUUUUUAAUUGCAUAAUAAAAAUAUACUUCCUUUAUUAAAAAACGUAAUUUUUAAAUUAGUACUUUUUAUAUAAUUAAUUAUAUAUAUAUAUAUAUAAUUUGUAUUGAGAAUUUUUUCCUUAAAAAAAUAAAAUUGCAAACAAAGAUAAUAUAACUCAAUAUCAUCUCUUAUCUUGAUUAAAAAUUAGAUAAAUAUCUUUCUUGAUCUGCUUGCAAUUACGGUUAAAAUAUUAUUUAAUUUUUUUUUAAAAUAUAUCGGCAAAAGAAAAACAUGAGCCCAAUACCGUACCUCAUAGAGUAAUCAUUGUGCAAUUAUUAUUAAACUUGUCAUAAAAUAUAUUUUUUUAUGAUUGAUAUACUUUUAACCCAUUAUAUAAAAUAAUAAUUUUUAUGAUAGUUAAAAUAUUAUUUAUCAUAAAAAAUAGCAUAUAUUAUAACAGUUAAAAUAUUAUCUAUUAUUAAAAAAUAUGGUUUAAUAUAUUUUUUAUGAUAAUUUUUUUAGAUUUGACAUAAAAAAUAAUUUUUUUAUAACAAUUAUACAAUUAUUAUAAAAAAAAUACAGAUUUUCUAAGUUUUCUGUAUUAUAACAGGUCUAAAAUCAUCAUUAUAUGUUUUAACUAUAAUAAAAAGUAUUUUUUCUAUUUACUAAAUCUUAGAUAACCGUGGUAGAAUAUUUAUGUGUUAGAAUAGAGUGCAUUUGGGAGAACUCCUCUAGAAAUAAGGUGAUAUGCAUCUAAACAAAACAUUUAGUUUUGAGCAUUAAUAAUUUUAAUUUGUUUUGAUCUGGAUUAGAAUCUAAUUUUUUUAGUGCGAGAUACUAUAAGUGUCGGCAUCUCAUCUUCUCCAAUGACUAAAAGUUGAUAGAUUCUGCAAGAACAACAUUUCAACGUGUUUUGAAAAUUUGUCUUUCAAUUCAUGACCUGAACAUUUGUUCUGAACCCACUACCAACAGAGUUUCAAAAAUCUGAUAUAUCUUGAAUCUGAAAUCAAACAUAUACAUAUAUUUGUAUGUUACUAAUUUUCUUUUUAUCUUUUGUGGCUGAGAUUUAAUUAUAACGACAGUGAAGAUCCUGAAUAUCUGCAGAGAUGAAAGUGUUCCUUUUGGUUCGGGUCUUAAUCAAGGAUGAUCGGUAUAUCAGCAAGAGUAUAUUUGAAAAUCUGCUAUCAAAGUUCCAUAUGUUUUUCUUAGAUGCAUUUUAAAGAUCUUUGAAUAUUGCUUUCCCUUUCCCAAUAAAAGACCAAUAUAUAUAUAAAAGUUUAAAACUUGAAAACACAUGUUAUUUUAUUGAUUUAAAAUAUUUAGUAAUAUUAACUUAAAAGGAUUGGAAUUGGGGGACUCUUGCCCCUUUCCGCGUCGCUCUGCUCGCCUAAGAUCCAAAACUGCUGUGGUAGGGCCAUCGGAGAGCGCCAGAGGAGGGAUGGCCUCUGCAUCAAUUUCUGACUUGGAUAUUAAUAACUGUAAUUCCCGUGUACGGGCAACGGUUAAUCUGGCGGAACCAGCCUCGCUGUGGGCCAUUGGAAAGCAAGUGGGGAUUUUUUGUCGGAAGGAAGAGGAGGAAGUUGUGAAGGAGUAUGAGUGUAUGGAUGAUCGAGAUGAAGAGGUUGCUAGGGGUCUGGAAAAUGGAGGAAGGUAUGUUUCCUUAUGAUUAUUUUUAGUCUAAAUAUAAGAGGGCUUGGGGGGAGUACCAAAUCUAGGUACGUACGUCAUGUCAUAGGGAAAGAAGGGGUGGAGUUUGUGUGCCUGCAAGAGACAAAAGCUAAUGGGGUUACGCAACAAAAAUGUUGCUCCUUGUGGGGGACUAAUAAAAUAGGAUGGCUUCAUCUUGAAGGUGUUAAUGGAGGAGGGUGUUUGUUGUCUAUGUGGUACGAGGAUGCUUUUAGCUAUGAGAGUCAUAUUAUGGGGAAAGGCUUCAUAGCUGUCUUCGGCAAAAACCGAGUAUCUAAUCUUAGUUGUGUAAUUGUAAACGUCUAUGCUGCCUGUAAUCUGAGGGAUAAGAAGACCCUGUGGGAGGAGCUGUCAAGUGUAAAACGGGCCUAUCAAGACAAAGUGUGGUGCCUUUGCGGUGACUUUAAUGCUGUCAGAAGCCAAUGUGAAAGGAAAGGAAUAAGGGUUAGGGAUGAUCAAGCAAAGGAGAUUGAGGGUUUUAAUAGUUUUAUUGAUACAAAUGCUCUUCUUGAUCUGCCUCUAGUAGGCAAGAAAUUCACCUAGUUCAAAGUAAAUGGAUCUGCUAAGAGUAGACUUGACAGAGUGCUUGUGUCAGAAGAGUGGCUGGACAAGUGGCCUAUGAGCAAACAAUAUGUGCAAAAUAGGAAAGUUUCUGACCACUGUGCAAUUGUGGUGAAGUCUAUGGUCAAGGAUUGGGGGCCCAGACCCUUUCGGUCCAUUGACGCCUGGUUAACGGAAAAGGGGUUUUGUGACAUGAUCAAGGACAAGUGGGGGUCAUACGCUGUGCAGGGGGAAGUGUUUCAAAAGAUCAAGAUGAAGCUAAAGUGCUUGAAGGAAGACCUUAAAAUAUGGAAUCGGGAGGUGUUUGGAAACCUGCAUAACAAAAAGGAAGGACUAUUACAGGAGAUAGAGGACUUGGAUUGUAGGGACUGUAAUGCUGACCUCGGUGAAUCUGAUAGACUGAGAAGAUAUGAUUUGGUUGGUAGGCUGAUGGAAACUGAGAAAAAGAUUGAGUCCCUUAUUUGUCAAAAAGCUAGAGUGAACUGGUUCAAGAAUGGGGACUCGUGCACUAAGUUUUUUAACUCCUCCUUGAGGUGGAGAAGGCUUAGGAAUGAAGUGAAGGGGGUGGAGGUGGGGGGCCUGUGGUGUGAGGAACCUGGUACGGUGCGCACCGAAGCGAAGAGACUUUUUGAAAACAGAUUUAAAGCCACGAGAGACUUUGGAGUUAGACUUGAUGGGGUGGAGUUUAAGACCAUCACCGUUGAGGAUAACGUGUCCCUGGUUGCUGGCUUCGACGAGGAAGAAAUAAGGGAGGCUCUUUGGCUUUGUGAGGGAUCGAAGAGCCCAGGACCAGACGGUUUUAAUAUGAAUUUUAUAAAGAAAAGUUGGGGGUUCAUAAAAGAUGAAGUUGUGGAAGCCUUCACUCUUUUCCAUAAGAAUGGUGUAAUCCCAAGGGGCUNNNNNNNNNNNNNNNNNNNNNNNNNNNNNNNNNNNNNNNNNNNNNNNNNNNNNNNNNNNNNNNNNNNNNNNNNNNNNNNNNNNNNNNNNNNNNNNNNNNNCUCUUGUACCCAAAGUAAGGGACCCAACCAAAUUGGAGCAAUACAGACCUAUAUCCCUAGUAGGUUCUAUGUAUAAAAUUAUCUCAAAGGUGAUGGCAGGUAGGCUUAAGAAGGUACUCCCCGCCAUUAUUGAUGACUGUCAAUCGGCCUUUCUCAAGGAUAGAGGGAUCCUGGAUAGUGUUAUGAUGGCUAAUGAGGUGAUAGAGGAGUUAAAGAGGAGAAGGAAGCCAGGAUUGUGUUUAAAGGUGGAUUUUGAAAAGGCGUAUGACUCUGUCAGAUGGGAAUUUCUUUAUGACUUGCUGCAGAGGAUGGAUUUCCAUAGGAAGUGGAUAAUGUGGGUCCAAGGUUGUUUGGAGAGCGCAACAGUAUCCGUGCUUGUGAAUGGGAGUCCAACGGAGGAGUUCAAACCGUCAAGAGGGCUACGCCAGGGGGAUCCUCUUGCCCCAUUUCUCUUUCUUGUGGUAGCUGAAGGGCUCACAGGGCUAGUAAGGCAAGCGAUGAAGGUUAAGCUAUUCACGGGACUAAGAAUAGGAAGGAAAGAGGUGGAAUUGGGUAUUCUCCAGUUUGCUGAUGACACAUUGUUCUUAUGUUAGGACUCCUUCUCGAAUGUGGUUACCUUAAAAUCUAUCCUGAGGGGGUUUGAGCUAGCCUCAGGAUUGAAGAUCAAUUUUCACAAAUCUAAACUAGGAGGUAUGAAUGUGCAAAGAAGCAAAAUGGACUGCUAUGCAAAGACCUUAAGGUGUGACCAGAUGAGUAUACCAUUUAGCUAUUUGGGUCUUGAAGUGGGGGGUAACCCAAGGAAGAGAAAGUUUUGGGAGCCUGUUCUGAACAAACUGAAAUCCAGGCUUAGUGUGUGGAGAGGGAGAUUCCUAUCAAUGGCAGGUAGGUUAUGCUUGAUAAAAUCUGUCUUGUCUGCUAUACCAUUGUACUACCUGUCUCUCUUUAAAGCACCAGAGGAGGUCUGUAAGAGCAUUAUUAGAAUUCAAAGGAGGUUCUUGUGGGGAUGGGGUAAGGAGAAAAGGUCGAUCUCGUGGGUCAGUUGGAAGGAAGUGUGUGAAGAGCGUGAGGAAGGUGGGCUGGGUAUCAAAGAGAUCCGGAAGUUUAAUUGUGCGCUGCUGGCUAAGUGGAAAUGGCAGUGUAUAACUGAAGAGAAAGGGAGGUGGAAGGAGGUGUUGGAAUCGAAGUACGGAAUGGAGAAUAUUAGGGAGCAGACACAGGUGAAAUAUUAGUCAUGGUGGUGGAGAGAUCUGUUGAAAAUUUGUAAGGAGGGAGGAGGAGAAGGGUGGUUUCAAGGUCAGGUUGGGUGGAAACUUGGGGGGGGGGGGAGAUAAAGUCAGAUUUUGGGAGGAUGUGUGGGUGGGUAAAACAAACCUAAAAACACUCUUUCCAAGGCUAUAUAAUCUUUCUCUGGAUCAAGGUCAAAGGGUGGGGGAGGUUGGAGUGUGGGAAGGGUCGGAGUGGAGAUGGCGUUUAAGAUGGAGAAGAGAAAGGUUUGAGUGGGAAGCAUCACUAGAAUCUGAUCUUAGUUGUCACAUUGCCAAUGCUUAUGUUAUUAGGAAUGUGAACGAUGUGCAGGUUUGGAGAAGUGGCGAGUCAGGGUGCUACACAGUAAGGGCGGCGUAUGAGUGCUUAGUGGAGGCGAAAAAUACUCCUCAAGUAGAGGUGUUUAAGCUUCUAUGGAAGGUAAAGGCACUCCCUAAUGUGUUGAUCACAGCAUGGCGGGUGAAUAGGGGCAGAACACCGACAAGAGUAGCUCUAAGCAGGAGAGGGGUUCAGAUUAACAACCCUGAAUGUGUCUUGUGUAAAACUGUGGAUGAGUCAAAUCAACAUCUUUUUAUAGAAUGUAAACAUGCGUGGCGUGUAUGGACUUUAUGCUUCAAGUGGGUGGGACUUGAGUUCGUCCAACACAAUGAUGUUAAGAUCCACUUCGAGAGUUUUAAUCUGCUCCAGGUAAAUCACAAGCAAAAUUUAGUUUGGAAAGGGGUGUGGGCAGCCAUAGUAUGGAGUUUGUGGGAGCAUAGAAAUUCUGUUAUGUUCCACCAAGGAGUAGUGGACGAGGAAGAAGUGCUACACAAGGCUCAGCUUAAAUCGUGGUCGUGGUUGAAACACAAAGGCAAUAAUUUUUCAUACUCGUUAACAGAUUGGGUGCUGAAUCCAAUCCCCUGUCUUACCAGCUAUAAAUAGGAGAUGUGUAGUGGCCAGGUGCAGUUGAGUGGGGGGAAAUGGAAGGUCUGGCAGGUAGUAUUGAAGGAGUUGGUUCUGUGGUGCUUCCUGCAGGUGCAGUACGGUGUAGGGUGGGUAAGGAGGAUCUGUUAUGGCUGGUUUUGCUGCAGAAGGUUUACUGACGGAUAGUUAGAGAAGGAUUAUUUGGCGUUCUUCCUAUGUAUGUAGGUUUGAGCUCAAAUGGCUUUAGCAAAACCAAGUAUUCACUGUUGAGUGCAGAUUCAAAUCUAGCAAGGUUUGUAUGAGGUAACUUCCGCCAUGUGCUAGGCUGUGUGACUCGUCGAAGUUAUACAAGGUUAACAUGAUCGCCGGUCGAUGAAACGGCGAUCUCCAUGCGGGUGUAGUCGCCGGUCGAUGAAACGGCAAUCUCCAUGUGCGCGUAGUCGGUGGUCGUUGAAUCGAUGAACCGGCGAUCUCCAUGUGUAGUCGGUGGUCGCCGUAGGUAUGCAAAGAUCAACAUGAUCGCCGGUUGUGUGAAGUCGGAGGUUGCUGAAGUUAUAGUCAACAUGAUCGCCGGUCGAUGAACGGCGAUCUCCAUGUGUGUAGUCGGAGGUUGCUGAAGUUAUACAAGUCAAAAUGAUCGCCGGUCGAUGAACGACGAUCUCCAUGUGGGUAGUCGGUGGUCGCCGUAGGUAUGCAAAGGUCAACAUGAUCGCCGGUUGAUGAAGUGGCGUUCUGUCAACAUGAUCGCCGAUCGAUGAAACGGCACUCUCCAUAUGUGUAGUCGGUGGUCGCCGAUGUUAGUUUUUUUAGGAAGUCCACUUCUGGUUACUGUUUAUGGGUUGGGAUACCCCUGAAGUAUCCCCUUUAAUUUUAUUUAUUCAUUGCUGAUAAAAAAAAAAUUAACUUUUUUUUUUUAUCAGCAAAGAAUUAAAUAAAUUAGAGGGGACACUUCAGGGGUGUCCCAACCCUUAUACAAACCGAGCAGCAACUGAUCUAAAGAAGAACCCAUAAACCAGAAAAGAAGAAGCAAAACAGUCAUAUUAACCAGAGAAGCAUGAUUUUCCUCUGCUGGGAUCCAAAACCAUGGACCAGGCCAUUUGUCCAUCAAGCAGAAAAGGUUUUCCACUAGGUAUAGCUAUGUGAAAAAUAAUAAUA
rnacentral:lncRNA from 1 species